rnacentral:lncRNA from 1 species
UUUUUUUUUUUUUUUUGGCUUUUAUUUUUUUGUUGAGUCAAACAUAUUCCAAAUGACUAAACUUAACCCGACCACUUUUUUUUUUUUAUUUAAAGAUGAAGUUUGAAAACUCUGUCAAUCAUUAUGUGAUCUUUUUUUAUAUAAUUUUUUUAAGCAUUAUGUGAUCAAAACAUGGAUUAACUGGAAGGAUGCCAGUGAACUUAAUCAAGUUGAACACUAUGGUGUUGAAAUUUCUUUGUUUAUUUUAACAUGCUUAAAAUUAUAUAUGAAUUUAACUUGUUUAUUUCUAGAGUUAAAUUCAAACGAAUUUUUAUAAAGUUGAACAUAAAUUGUUUGAAUAUUUUACAUGUGAAUGUUAAAUUAAAUGCUAAUUGACAACUAGCAUUUUAUUUUGCAAUUCGGUUUUCAUUUUUCUUUUAUGAAAUUUUGUCCAACCUAACAUUCACAUGAUCUAUCGUGUACAUAUACAUAUUAACAAUUAUUACUCUCCCUUGCAUUUAUAUACUUUCCCUAUUUAAUCUUACCUAAUAUACUUUUUCUAUUUAAUCUUACCUACCCCUUUGUAUUUAGUUACUUUCUCUAAUUAAUCUUACAUUUUAAAAAAUAUGACGCAUAACAUAUAUUUUAACAAGUACCCAUAGGGCACCCUUUAGAUAAACUCUUCAUUUUUAUCGAGUAAGUAAAAAAUAUUCCAAAUGAGUAGACUUAACUCGACCACUUUUUGCUGAUUUAACGAUGAGUUUGAAAACUCUGUCAUGCAUUAUAUGAUCAAAUCAUGGACGAACAGAAGGACUGUGACUGACCUAAUCAAGUUAAAUAUUUUGAUGCUUAAACUUAUUUGUUUAUUUUAAAGUGUUUAACAUUAUGUAUUGAUGUAAGAGAAGUAAAAAAAAUGAAAAAUAAAAGUUGAUUACUGGAAGAGAAAAAAUGAAGGAACGAAUAAACAAGGAGAAAAUAAAACAAUGUACAGUAAUAAGGGUAGUUUUGUCCUAAAAUAUCAAGUAAGGGCAAAGUUCCCGUUUGAUGAGUUUAGGGGGUAAAGUGCAAUUGAGGGUAAAAUUUAGGGGGGGGGGGGUUCAGUGCCUUUAACUAGAAUUAAAAAGAAGAAAAAGAGAAAUCAAAGAGGUUAUUGCUAGGAGUUAAAGUGAAAAAAAUUAGAGAAGAAAAUUGAACUGUACAAAACCAAAACUUAAGGAAGGAGGAGGGGGGGGGGGGAUUAAGUGUUCCAAUUCCAUGUCAAAAUUCAAUGUAAUAUUCCAUCCAAUUACGCGUUCCUAAAGAAUCCUAAACACCCUCGUAAAAGUUGUUUAACAGACUUUUACUAUUUAAAUACAGGAUUUGUAACCUAACCUGGCAUUAAUGAUUUUUUUUUUCUCUGUACGCUUCAUACUUUUAUUGAUAAGCUGAUAAGUUUACACGAAGAUUGGGAGCUCCCCAUACCAAUUUAUAUCACAGAUUGAAUGGUAAUCCAAACCUGACAUUAAUGCUGCUAAUAAACAAGUAAUUCUUCGGUUGCUAAUAACAAUGAAGUAGUUCUUCUGUUUAGCCAAUAGCCUCUUGGGCUCUUGGUACCACCAAAAUAUUUAAGUUUUGGUGGGGGUGGGAAGUCAUCCGAUAGGAAAAUCUCGUCGGCUUCUCCUUCCUUUAAACUAAAUUAAAGUAGGUUAUACAAAUAUUAUUGUUGCGAUAAAAAAAGACUCUCUAAUCGAGUAAUUGUUCACUUCCCAAGCUCAAAAAAAAAAAGGAUGAUGACAAUUGUGGAGGCAGCUCAUUGCAAAGAAGGGAUUCAAGAAUUUCUAUCGUAUAGCGUCAAAACCCUCAACGAAAAUCAGAAAUCCGUCAAACAAUUUCUAUCAAACACUGUCAACAAUCUUUCAGGUUCUCGCCUACAGACAACUUCCCUUGUGAUCCAGCUGCAGCGGAUGAGGAAGAUGAAGAUGAUGAUAUAUGGUAUUUUAUAGAUUACAAUCAAAAAGAAGUUGAGAAUGAUACUUGGAAUGGUUACAGGAAGGUGGAAGUAGAUGAGAGACUGUCUUCUUUAGAUUAUAUUACAGAGGAAACCGAGGACAUCCACAAUUACCUGCUCGGCCUUGAGAAUGGAGGAUCAAUGUGCUAUUUGUCUAGAUGGUUUUGUUGAAGUUGAUCAUGAAGAUAAUAUGUUAUCAAUAUUAAGUGUUACUUUUUUGUUUUAAAGGAAUGCUAUUCAUAAUCAGUAUAAUGAUUUUGCCUCUCAUGUAAAAGAAUUCAGAUUAAUCUUUCCCUUCAAUAUGAUAGAUUCGAAACUUUUUUGUAGUGUUGAAUAGAAAUAGCUGGAUAGGUUAAUGUUCUACUUGUAUGUACAUACCCUAAUUUUAGUUUUAACUCAAUUGAUUUUGCCUUUUAUCUAUUUUGUAACCUUUAGGAAUUUUUAUUUGCUUGAAUACUAAUAUUUUGGUCCAUCAUGGGGCUUUGCCAACUCAACUUAGUGAAGUGAAGAUUGUCAUCUCAUUGUGGGGACGAUGGAAUUUGAAAAAAUAACUUGAGAAUCAAAAUAAAGAUAUCUAUCUUUGCCCCAUAAAAUAGUUCAAAGACAAGAACUGAAAAUGAAUUAUAACAUCGUCAAGAACUUGAUUCAUAUUCUUUUACCCAAAACGAUCUUAUUCAUUUGUAAACUGUCUCUUCGAACUUUUACAAGAUUAUUUUUCUCUUGAAUAUUCAUUAUUCAGUCCUCCACAAUAAUCAACGGUUCAAAGCUGUGCAUUGCAUGCGAUUAGGCCCGCCAACAGGUCAAGUUUGGGUCGAAAUCAUUAUUCCGACCGAACCCGUCAUGCUAUACCGGAUCCGAAUUCGGUCCGCAGGUCUUCUACUCUAUAUCUUUGAACCGGGUCCGACGGGUCUCGGAUCCGAGUUGAGUCUACCUGGGAAUUCGGGCUAUUAUAUUCAUAAAUAUAUAUUGGAUAAUAGUCAUACUGAAAAUUGAAGUAAAUCUGGGUAUUAUAUUAAUAAAUAUAUAUAUUAAAUUAUUAAUUCAUUUAUAUUUGGAUUUGGGUUGAAAUACUAUAUUCCACAUCCGAUCUACAUUUUUGUUUGAAAAAACGAAUCUGAAUCCAAAGAACGAAAUUAUAUCCCUACUCGUACUCGAAAUAAUUUGACGGAUCCGGUCUAGGUCUUGAUCCAGACCCGGACCGUUGACAGGCGUACAUGCCAUAGUUCUCUAACAAUUUUGAGGCAGCCUAAACAAUUGUUUAGGGGUUCUCGGAGAUAUGGCAUCCAAGUAAGCUUAUUUAAUUUUUUUUUUGCCUGGCCUACAAACAAAUGGCAUACAAAAUGCAAUUUUGAGCCAAAUUAAUUCUUUAAUUAAGGUUAAUUUCUUAUAGUUGUUUAAGAAAUAAUUCUACAAAAAGAGCUGUUUGGUCUAAUUAUCUCUCAUUGAGUUGGUAAGGUCAUUAAUCUCAAAAAAAAAAAAAAAAAAAAAAGAGAGAAAGUGUCUUAUAAGAUCAUGAUUUACCACUUAUUGCUUAAUUCAGUUAUGUAUUAUAAAGUUUGGAGAUUCACCAACCAAAAAUUUACCACAAAAAUUAUUUAUUUAUUUAUUGUACGAAAAUUUAUUUAUUUUUUUAAUUCAUAUUUUUGAAUUAGAAUUAUACCUUCUUUUUAGUUUGUAAAUUUAGCGCCUCCCCCUCCUCCCCCCCCUAGCUUUAUUAUAAUUGGCUCCAUGACUGCAAAUUUCAUUUUGUGCAAAACUUAUAUAUUUAGGCUCCUAAAUAUCAACCGGUUUAAAUUGUUGAAAAAGUACAACACCGUACUUGAUGUCAAUGUUAUUACCCUCAACAUUUCUUAAGGAUUAUUGGAGUCCCAAUAUUAUCAAUCAACAUUCAAUUAGGAAACACUCCGAAUCCUCCUAUGAAUCGGUGGGAAACAGUAACGUGCUAUACGUGUAUUAUAAAUAUAUUAGACUACUACAAGGCAAAAAACUCCGUACCUAUUUCCCUUUUCUGUUGAAGGAAAGAGCCAAGAGCAAUGGCGGUGCUGGAGAGAGUUGAAUGUUGUAACGUGCGUCUCUUCAGGUGGAAUGAAAAUCUUUUCAAGAACAAAAAAGUAUCAGAUUCUCAAGGUCUAGCCCUGUUUGUUAUCACAACCGUUUUGGAAAACUCCAAAAGCUAUGGAUUACCUAAAAAUCAUCGUCAUGAAUGUAUUGUCUCUUUCAAUCUCCCGGACCUAUUCGCCCGAGACAAGAAUUUAGGACUGAAACUCGUACAGGCUACUCAACAAUUUUCAUCGUCGGAAGACACUUGCAAAACUCUUGGAGACUCGAUUUCGGGUUUCUUGUUUACACGUUUCGACUUUGAUGAUGAUCCCCAAGCCAAGAUUCAACCGGAUUCUCCUAAGACAGUCAUUGUUGUUGAAGUUUCGCGUUCUUGGUUCGUUCUUUCGGACGGCACGCGUCGUUCUAAAGUUGCAAUCUCCCGGCUUUUGCCUCCGCCUACGAUGAUUCCCCCUCCUCGAGGGACUUCAGAGGAUGGAAACGAGGACAAGGACGACAUAGCUGAUCAUGAGGGAGUCGAGAAGAAUUCGUUUCUACGCUGCUUAAGGGACUGUUUAGGUGUGAGGAUGGGAAGGCAGGGGAGGAUGGGAAAAUCCCUUACUCGGGAUGACCCUGGAAGAGGAGGUUUUGUGGAAAUUUCGCCGGCCGUAGUCGGGAGAAAACGGAAGUGGGAGGAUUUUGACAAAUCAGUGGAUACUUGCGCCAUUUGUUUAGAGGGCUUUGUUGGAGUGGUGGACGAGAAAAUUUCCAUUACCAGUUGUUCUCACGUUUUCCACAAGAAUUGUAUAUUAAGAUGGCUGAUGUUCAACAGCAAUUCUUGUCCAACCUGUAGACUUGUGCUGCCUCUGGGCUUUAAUAUGAUGAAGAUGAAUUAAGAACUUGUACUAGUACUACUGAUCUACACAGCUUUAUAGUUAAGUUUAGCAGUCUAAUUUUAACACUUUCUUUUAGUUAAUUCUCUCAUUUGUAUUGAUUUUGGGAUUAUGUAUUAUGGAUUCGGAGUUUCACACGUUGAAUUCUACCUAGUUCAAAGCGAUUGAUAUAGUUUUUACAAUAUUUUAUGUAAACUUAUGCAAUGCGAGCGUAAACUUGUACAAUUCAGAGUCACAUUCUAUAUUUUAAGAGCCACGGAUGAUGAGAGUGACGCUGAAAUCAAUUGUCCAACGAGGUUGGGGAUAAGAUGAUACUGUGAUAAUUGGAUAUGGAUUCUGUAAAGGCUAAAACAUCAGUAACGUUAGUAGCUGCUCAUAAGAUUCUGUUGAGCGGAGUUAUGUUGAUGAUUUUCACAAAAGAAACCAACUUCUUCUGACAUGCAAACCAGCCACCAGCCCAGAAAAAUCACCAGUAGAUUGUUAGGCAGAAAUAGAAUAGCUCAUUAUUCUCUUACAGAAAUGACCUUCUGAAUACUGGGGGGAGGGGGGUGUGUGGGGUGUUAUUCAUGAAUGCAUUAAAUUGUUAUUCGCAGUUAUCUUUCCAGCACAAACUAUCAUUCUCACCUCACUUCUGCACAUUUUCAGGCAGGACCAAUAUUACAAUCCCAUUAGCAUGAUGUAAUUAUAGUGCUUCAAUAUAUUCAGUACAUGUAUGUAUAAUGGUGAAAAACAAAAAAAAAAAAAAAAUCGUACUUCUCUUCUCUCAUAAAAAAAAUUAGAAAUAAAUAAUUUUCUUAUUGCAAAUGUAAUCUAAUCAAAGAAAAUUCUAAAACUUAGGCCCCAUACAGUUUGUGUGAGACUUUGUGCCAAAUAGAUGGUUAAAAAUAAUUAACCAAAAUGAUGUAACUGAAAAAUGCCAGGACCAACUUGGUGCAUUGCUAGUGGUAAGGAAAAUUUUAUCUUUUUUUUUUUUUUUAAGCAAGAAACCAUUCCAAUGAUUUGCAAUUAUGUAUGUUAACAAUGCAAUUUGAUAACUAGUGGUACAUGAGUUUCAAGAACACAUUUAAUCAGCUCAUUAUAACGUCUGUCUUCCCCUAACUUUUAUAGGACAAAGAAUUUAAAAAUGAAAUUACUAGUGUAUGAAGUGUAGGAGCUCAAAAUGACAAUGAAUAUAUUAAUCACCAAUUUUUAUAAGACAAAGCUUUUGAAGAAAAGAAAAAAUUACUAGGAUUAAUUGUCAAAUAUUCAAACAAAAUGCCUAAAAAAAUAUGCACACAAAACAGAAGAUGCUAUAAUUACUGGAAAUCCAAUUUUAAAACCAAAAGUGCAACUCCCAUUAAUUAAGUCCCAAGAUAAAAGGUUAAAAUUCCUUUUCUUGUACACAAAAUAAAAAGGUUAAAGAUCCUUCAACAUCCAUUAUCCUGUUUUCCUGCCUCCCAGACUCUCAGUUUUCCACAGGCCCACAACCAUGGCUUCUACUAAGCUUAUAGCCCCUCUUCACGUCUCCUUUUACAACCCCAUUUCAAAAUUCUCUUGGUCCAACAGUAAAGACACUGUCUUUCCUUCAAAACCACUCACCAUAGUUUCUGCCAAUAAAGCAAAAAGGAGGGGAAAAUUGAGGUACCCAUCUGAGAAAAAGAAGCUAAAACUCCAAAGACAAUACGAAAUCGAUGAAAGAAACAAACUUGAAGGUGUUUGGAGGCUUUUCAAGCUUGAAGUCUCGGUUGAUAAAGACCCUGGAAAAGAUUUUCUUGGUGUUUCGGAUGCUUUGCUUGAAGAAAUUGCUAAAGUUCUCAAAUUUCCGGUAUAUGGUUUUUGGAUUCUUUAACCCUUUUGAAAUUGAAUCUGAUUGUUUCCCUUUUCGUUCUUUUGUAGCAUUUAUGGUGCAAAGUUUUAACUCUCAUUAGCUACUCAGUUUCUAUUUUUUUUUAAGUGGUGUAAACUUUGACAUAUUAUGCUUUUUAGUUUCAAUUUUAGAUUUUGCGUUCUGGAUUUUUCUCAUUGCUAAAAUCUAAAAAAUAAAAUAAGAAAUUAUAUUUUGGAAUUCUAUGCCUAUAGUUUAAGCUGCUGUAUACUUCUCGGAAAUGUCCAAGUAGUGAGUGGUUUGAAGUUGUUUUCAUGAUUGCAGGUUGCUUCAAUGUUGCCACCAGAGGCUUUCACAGUUCUUAGAAAGUCUUUUGAUGCUCGAAAGGUUUGUACAUUGCAGGCCUUAUUUGUUCUCUUCCUUUUGUAUUUGGAAUAUAUUGGCUUAUUUUGAAAUGGAAUUCCGUUGCUAUAGAGAUAUGCAUUGAGCUGCUUAGAAUAUAAGUUCAUUGCUCUAAAAAGACUGAUUUCUCUUUUUGUAUCAAUAUCUCAGUAUUGCCAAGUCUUAACACCAAUGCCUACAUGCACCACACAACAUAAAGAAGAACACUGUCUUUUCAAUUGGUCUGUAUUUAUCAUCGAUGGUUUAGAAAUUGGCCAACUAUGACUUUUUGAGCUAGAGCUGCAUGAUGAACAGAAUGGUCCUUCUUCUUGCGCUUUUAUCUCUGCUUGUUGUUGGCAAUCUCAUUGUAUUACACUCACAAAAUUUUCUAAUUUGUUCACAAUUGUUUGCUGCAUUUCACCUAAUAUAUUUUCAUUAAUCAAAUUUCAGAAGGAACCAAAGUUUGUGUACGCAGUGAAUAUGGAUGUCUCCAAACUUCUGAGCUCAGAGCCUCGUACUUUAGACUUUAUUUCUGAUCUGGAGCCGAAGACUGGGCUUAUAGAGCAUCUGACUGAUCAGAGAGAUUCUGGAGAUUUUGGUGAUUUAAUAAGCCUAGUUAAGAAUUGCAAAAAGAAUAAUGAAACAGAAGGUGUGGGGCCCAGAAAUCAUUAUGGGGGAUCACUAGUGUAUCCCUAUGCUCGAAAACCAAAAGUUGCAGUUGUUGGUAGUGGGCCUUCAGGCUUGUUUGCUUCUCUUGUACUUGCUGAAUUUGGAGCAGAUGUUUCAUUGAUAGAGAGAGGGCAACCAGUUGAAAGAAGGGGGCGUGACAUUGGAGCUUUGGUAGUUCGACGAAUGUUACAAGAGGAUAGCAAUUUUUGCUUUGGGGAGGUGAUCUCCUAAUCCACUUAGUACCUUCAAGAUUUUUAUUGUGUAAUGACUGUUAAUUUUGUCCUACCAACUUUCAUUUUGAUGAAUAUUGUUUGAACUUUUGUACAACCAUCUGCACAGGAAAGUUCAAAUUUCUGGUGAUUUAUUUCUUUGUGUCUUUGUUGUAAAUUUAUUUAGGACUUAUGGGUCACAGGGUGGUGCAGGUACUUGGAGUGAUGGAAAGCUAGUAACAAGAAUUGGGAAAAAUAGUUAUAGUGUUACAACAGUAAGUGUCCUCCAUCUGAGCAUUACAUGAGGUUGGUUAGUACAAAAUGAUACUUGAUCCAUUCAUGUACUUAAAUAAUCUGGCCUAAUUCCAGGUUUUGAAGACAUUGAUUCACUUUGGAGCUCCAAAAAACAUAUUGGUUCAUGGAAAACCUCAUCUGGGAACUGACAGAUUGGUUCCACUACUUCGCAAUUUCCGACAAUACCUACAAGAGUUGGGUGUAUGUUGCAUUUUAAACUUGUAGUUUUCAGAGAAAUUUGCUGUUAAUCUUUUCAAUUUUUGUCACUCUAUUAAUCUUGUCUCUUGAACAUAUCUAUCUAGGUCAUUGUUAAGUUUGGAACCAGGCUGGAUGAUCUGCUUGUGGAAGGUGCACAUGUUGUGGGUAUCAGUGUUUCUGAUUCAAUAGGCAACCUGGAGUCCACUAGCCUGAAGUUAGGAUUCGAUGCAGUAGUUAUUGCUGUUGGGCAUUCUGCACGUGAUACCUAUCAAAUGCUUCUUUCUCAUAACGUGGACAUGGUUCAAAAAGAUUUUGCUGUGAGUUUUUCUUUAUCUCAGCUUGCAGAUAGAAAUUUUCUUUUCUUCCUCCUGGUACUAUAUUCUUGGGUAUAGGAUUUGAGUUUGCCUCCAAAUUUUGCUGUCAUAAUAUAUACCUGCCUCAUAUUCCUGUAUUCUAUUUUAUGCUCUAAAGUUUCCUCCACUUCCUGAGGGUUUUUUUUUUGGUUGUUUGGGGGGGGGGGUGUUGGGAGAACCUUGGCAAAGAUGGGAUGCAGGGAGUCAGGCAACAAGCUCUGAAGCUGUUGAUGUGUGUGAGUUGCCAAUGUUUCCAUGCUCUUAAAAGGAGCUGACCAUUUAUUUAUCUCUUCAGAUAUAGAAGACAUUAAUCAACAAUUUAUUCGCCUCUUGAGUUUAUGCAGAUGAUUAUCACUCAUACCGCUGAUAAAUUUAAAUGGGAUCUAGUCGUUUAUCAAAUAAAAAAAGUUGCUCUUUGUUUAUAUGCUCAUAUGUCUUCAACAGUUACCUGGGUUUACACAGAAAGAGUGACGCCCAAAAGAGUGUAUUCAGACCUCCCAGUAUAAUAUGCUUAAGGUGGUUGUGGUAUUUGGUUGUUUUGUCUGCGGAUAUAUUUUGUACGUGUCAUAUGUACGCUUACAUGUGGAUCUAAGGGAAGGAAAUGUAACAGUGAGGAUGUAUAAACUCUACAUUUAACCAGGAUGAUGAAAUGUGGUUAACGGAUAAGACGUUACCAACUGAGAAGGGGAGAAAAUUAUGAAGUCAUCUAAUUUAUUAUGCCUAAGCUUCUAGACCAUCAUUGGCAUUAAGUUUCUGUGAUUGGGCCUUAGAGUACAGUAAUAUAUGCUUUAUAAAGCUUUAAAGGGCUUAGGAUUGUUCUGCUGAUAUCAAAUUCAUAUAGUAUGUCACAUGUUGGUAUAAACAAUUAGCAUAUUUAGAUAUAGGCCUUUCCUUCUGCAAUGAGAGAAUCAUGAAUUCUUCCUUCACCAUCGUAACUUGUGUUAGGAUUAGUUUUAUGUAAUCUUGGAUGUAUAUGUCCUAGCAAAUUGAUCUUCUUUUUCUGUAUCUACUCAUGGUUAUCACAGGUAGGUUUGCGGGUUGAGCAUCCUCAAGAAUUAAUAAACAGUAUACAGGUGAGUAAUAUAGCUGUGUUUUUUGGACGUAUAGCAUCUUUGAGACUACUAGUCUUUUGCUUGUGUAAAUUAUGAUUUUAAGGGGUGAUUUACGAUUUUGAGUUUUAGGACUGACAAAUUCAACCUGUUGGAUCAUUGGAGUGCAUGAGCUGUACUUCAAGAUCCUCCUUUUGUUCAAGACUUUUGUGAUGGUGUGACUUCAUUAGAUUCAAGUAGAUAUUGGAUAACAAUUUGGUGUGAUAGGUGUCUUUAUCAAGAUGUUCUGGUUCACUUGGUCGUCUAUAAGAGAGUUCCUCACCCGCUAAACAGUUCUGAAGCACACUGUACAUUCCCAGUACUACACUAGAAAAAGCAUGAAACAUUAGAUUGUUGGUUACUUAGAGUUCUGUGUCCCAUGUAGAUGCAUUUUCCCAUAUCGGUUGUUUGGUGGUUCAGGAAAGAUAACUAUAUGAAAGAAUCCAUGUUUUGUUUAAUAUGUAGUUGGCACUUUGACUCCUGUUUUCAUUGGCUAAUGUUUUGCUGCUUUGACUUUGGGGAUCCACUUAGCUUUUAGCUCUUCUUGUCAAUUUUUCAAUUUUUAUAUGCUAUGCUACUAUUUGCUUUUUACUCUGGUUUUCAUUAAAUAUCAUGUUGUACAAGGGUGCAGUACUCUGAAUUGGCGAAUGAAGUUCAGAGUGGAAAAGGCAAAGUACCAGUUGCAGAUUACAAGGUUGCUGCAUAUGUGAGUGGAGAAUAUGAAGAUGCACCCUUAAGUUUAGGAUCAACAAACCGUAGCUGCUACUCCUUCUGCAUGUGUCCUGGAGGUCAGGUACGUAUUCAUUUUUCUUCUCUCUUAUUGAAUGAAGUGUCUGAUGUAGUACUCUUGUUGCCCAGUCGAAGUCUUUGCAACUUUCGAAGUUUUCUUGAAUAGUUGUGACUUUCUUUCUUCUCAAAGCACUGAAUUCCAUCUUUUUGUCAAUAUAUAUGGGUUUUUUCCCUUUAAUUUGUUCUUCCCGAAGACUCCUUUCACAAUUAGUUUUUGCAAGAAAGGAAAGAUGAAACUGAGAUUGAUGGGUGCAGCAUUUCUAGAAAUCAGAUUCAAGUUUAUUAUCUGGAAGUAGAGAUGUGUUGUGCAAUAUUUGCUGCAUAGUUUAAAUAUAUGACAAAGAACUUUUUGUUUAGGGCCUAAACAGCACAUAAAACUAAUCACAUUAGAAGAUUCACUUGCAAGGUUUUUGCAGGUGGUCCUCACUAGUACUGAUCCAUCAGAACUUUGUAUCAAUGGCAUGUCUUUCUCUCGACGUUCAUCUAGGUGGGCAAACGCUGCGCUUGUUGUCUCUGUAUCAUCAAAAGAUUUUGAUGCUCUAAAUUUGCAUGGACCACUUGCUGGUGUUGAAUUUCAGGUGCCUGUAUUCUUUCACCUUGUUUUGGCAAAACUUCUCUUCUAAUGCAUUUUUACAUCAUUGAAUAAACGAUGCUGCAAGUUUUUGUUGGAUAAGCAUUGAUGAAAUAAGGAAAGGUUAUUAUGUUGGACGGAAAAGCAUUUCUGGGGUCUUGGUUUUCUUAUUCUUUUUGUGUAAAAUUAGUGAAUGUUAGGUCUUUGUGGCAUCCUUUCCAAUUUGUACUAAACCUUUUUCUUAGAAUUGACAGUAUAAUUUCAUGUUCCUUAAAUUCCUUGUCACGUUGCAUUUGAUUUUGGAUCGACUAUCUUCUCUUUCUGUUCAGAGGGAAUUUGAAAGAAAAGCAGCUAUAAUGGGAGGUGGAAAUUUUGUGGUGCCUGUUCAAACAGUUACCGAUUUUCUAAAUAGCAAGUUGCCAGGUAAAUCUUCACUUUAGAUCCUCGUUCUGAAAAGUUGUAUGAAGAUAUCAUCACCUAGUUUUCAUAUUUCUCUCCUUCAAUUGCAGUAAAAUGCAUACCAUCAUCAAGUUAUCGUUUAGGAGUGAAAGCAACCAGUCUUCAUGAACUAUAUCCUCCACACAUAACAGAGGCUUUGCGGCAUUCAAUUCUGAUGUUUGAGAAAGAGGUUUUCUGCCAUUCUAGUUUGCUCUUUUUACACCUUAUCCUUUUCCUAAUAUUUCUUCUAGCCAUGAUGUUCUUCUCUCAUACUGUUUAGAUGUUUUAAACAAUAUCUCAAUAUAAUUAUUUCAUAAACCCGAAUUCGCAGCUACCAGGAUUUAUCUCCAACAGUGCGCUUCUCCAUGGAGUGGAGGUACUAAUUGAUUUGCUUCGUUUAAUAUACUGUUAAUUGAAACGUUCUCGCUAAAUCUAAUGAUUCAGAAACUGGAACCUUGACUUGAAAGCUAGACAUCUGUCCAUCGUCGUUGCAUUGUUUUUUUUAUGUUUUUCCUAGAUGGUUUGGAUUUUUGCCAGAAUUGUGUAUUUCUAUUAAUUUUUAAAAUAUUUUGAGUCGUACAUUAAAGUUUAUUGUAUUGGCCCCAGACAAGAACCAGUUCUCCUGUCAGGAUAUUACGAAACUCUGAUACUCACGAGAGUACAUCGCUGAAGGGGCUAUAUCCUGUUGGUGAAGGAGCAGGUUAUGCUGGUGGAAUUGUUAGUGCAGCUGUGGAUGGUGUGUAUGCUGGUUUUUCAUUAGCAAAAAGUUUAGGCCUUUACAGGGGAGGUAUAGAAGAUGUGCUGGGCAAGGAUCAAAAUGUUGGCUUCUUUAAAUACUGAGGCCAUGUUUCUGUUGAGGAGUAUCGAGCGAUUAGUUUUGAGUACAAGGAGCUUAUAUACAUUGUUGAGGACUAGAACAAACCACUUCAACAAUUUUGUAGACAGUCAACCUGCGAAAAUGUGUACAUGAUACAUAUAAGCUACUUUUAACCCCCAGUUGUAAUUGCUUUUUCAUAAUAUAAUUGCUUCUUCAUUCAUUCUUAAUUGUGUAAUAAUCGGUGGUAGAUGAUGGUCGGUGACCCAGAUUAUGGCGAAUUUUUGCAGUUUUAGCUAGUUUUGUAGUUUUCCAUGGUAAUUACUUCGUUGUCAUGUUGACUUAUAUUUGUCAAAUUUUAGCUUUGUGUUAGGUUUUUUAUGCAUAUUUUUAGUUAUUUUUCUUAGCAAAUGAUUGGGUAUGUCCGGAUUGGAUUUUCUAUAGAGGUGUCUGUUAUAAACUUUAUUGGACGAGCGUCUUGAGGGUACUCAACAGAUCACUCCAUCCCUCUUUCCACCAUCCGCCACCCCACCCUGGAAAGCUCCCCGGCACCCUCCUCCUUCCCUACCACAACCAUGCAGCCUCCCUCUCUUGCCCCCUCCACCCUAAGUUUUGAAGGUCCGACCUAAUUCUUCUGGGCCGGUCUUGAUGCAGAAUUUUUAGUAGGUUGUUGGACAAAAUAUGAUUCUACAAAAAUGGUAUAUAUAUAUAUAUAUAUAUAUAUAUAUAUAUAUAUAUAUGUAUAGGGUCUGGUCCAUUACUGUGUAAUUGCAUCAUACAGGGAUAUGUUUAUUUGGGUAAGCUCCGUUCUCUUGGGCUAAAACAGUAGAAUGAAAGCAAAGCAUCCCAAGAUUAAACCUAACACAGGCUGGCCGAAAUACUAAAUCAAAGUACGUGCUUGCUCCAGUCGAGUGUACUAGUUUCCUGCUGACACCCUUGGCAUUUCUCCUCGCUUGCAGUCACCAUCAUUUUGCCUAUCUCCCACAGCGAACGGCUAGAUACACAAUUCGAACCCUAAAAUUGACAGUAGAAAAUAUUUUAAGAGUUCUCUUCUAACCAUUGGACGACCUCGAAGGUUACUUGCAAUCACUACUUGACAUGCAGAAGAGUAAUAUUAGUUUAUGUAGCUACGAAAAUUUUCAAAUUUUCGAAGGAAGAUUUCCGAAAUUCUUAUAGGCUACAUUGUCUUGAUAGUAAGCAGCAGUUGCUCAAGUUAAAUCAAUGUUCAGAAUAUGAAAUACACGGUCGCAGUAUUAUAAUUGCGUUUUCCCAUCAUCUCAUAAUUGUUAUAAGAUCAUAUGAUCCUUUAAUGUUACCUAAUGAGUACUUAAUGGCUUCUCAAAAUCUUGCAGUCAUUAUUAAGAUUGUAACAACAAGAAGAUUGAAAGAUGAUGUUACCUUGUAUAUAUGGCUUUCAAGGUUUCACACACUACCAAUGAUAAGAAGAUUUUUCUUAGUCAAUGCAUCCACGGCUUUUGACAAGGAAAAAUCAAGGAAUUAAUUACAAAAAGUAAUAGCCAAAAUUUUACUUAGGAACAGCAACCACACAAAACCUUACAAAGUGCACAACUGAGAUUUGAAAUGCAACAAAUCUGCACCCACAAAAGUAUCUUGUUUCCAAGAUUAACAUUCUUCUUCCAAAGAAUCUAAGCCCCACUUGAUGAAGCAGGACAGAGUUUUAUGACUACUCAUUAGUUGCUUUAUUCUGUAGUGAACAUGUAGCAGGCAUGGGGGUGAUGCUGAUAAUGAUAUUGAUUUAUACUAAUUGGUUUGGUCCCCAUUGAGCAUAACUAUCAAGCACAUGAGUGCCCAUCAUUUGCUUCUUUCUUUAGCUACCUACUGCAACAUUUUUUAUGCAAAGCAAAGUGUGGCUACAACAUGCUUGCAUGUAUCAUUUACUAAAACUAGUGAUAGUAUGAAACUUUAUCCGCUGUGUUUUCUUACACCAAUUCUUUCUUUAAUUAUCCAGUGAGCUAAGGAAGUGAGGAAAUCCAUCUAUACUUGUUUAGUCUUCAUGUUUUUCAUUUUUUUUUUGGGCUAAAUGUGCAACUCAUACAGAAUUCAGCCCAAACAUGUACUCUUGCUGUACUUUCAUUGAUGGUUUCUGCUCUUGAGUUUUUGGCUUUAGGUUUCUUUGUCAGUAAAUUGGUAUCGUAUUUUAGCUGAUGAUUUAUCCACAUGAUCAUUUUUUAUUUGGUUUCUUCCACAAACCAAAGCAUUUAACUUCAUAAAUUUACCUAGCAUCCUCUUACUCGGUCAUCCUAGAAGUAUUAGGAAAAUGAUAGUACAAUUCUCCAUGAGGAUGGAUUUCGGAAACCCCCCCCCCCCCACGUUCUGUGAGUAUUUGAACAGUUUAUGAUCAUCAAGAUCCUUUCCCAUUAAUUAUUGUUGUGGAGAAUACUUGAUUCCUUUCUUUCCCUCAAACACUAAAUCUCACGAUAGUCCAAGUGGAAUAUGAUUUGUUUUCAUGCUUGUCCUUGCCAAGAGAUAAUUGUUGGGAUUUGUUCACUUGGUGUUAUUUCUUAAAGCAAUUCACUUGAGCUCACAAAAAAAGUUUUCUAUGCAGAUGUUGAGAUUUGAGAGACAAUAUAUAGAAAGUUUCACCAUAAGCAGUCGAUAUUAUAUAUAUAUAAUUUCUUUGAAUCAAUCAGUCUUCUUUUGGUUAUGCAACUACAAUUAAUUUGUGGAUGAUGGAUUGCUUGACUAGAAAUUCCAAGAAAACUCUUCUAUAUGUUAUGUACUCUAUAAACAUGCUCAUGUCAUAAGUAGAUAAGAAAUACAGGCAACUUCUAUAGUUUUGUGACUUGUAAUUGGUUUUGUUCAAGUGGUUAAAGUCGAGGUACACUAUUUUGGUAGGUAGAUUAUCUAAUAAUCUUUUUUAACGAGUACUCAAUGACAACAGAUUUGUUGCGUUCACAUUUAUGAUUCGGAUUCCUCUUAUAUUUACCUACUCUCAUAACCUAAUUAUUUUUAUUUAAAAAAAAAAUUCUAGUAGAGAAGAGUGAAACUUAAGAAGCCAGGAGGAAACAGAGAGAUUUGAAUCCAGAACCUUUAAUUCCUAAUAUCAUAAUUUAAUUAUACUUUCAUAAAAAAAAAAUUAAUCUUCAACCCCUCUAAACAGCCCCUGCAAACCCAUCUUCCAAGUAAUUUACAUGACAAUUCAUACUGUCUGUCGAAAAGAUAAGCCUACCGACACCCUAAUUUCUAUGCAAGUGUAUAAUUUACUUAGUUGAAUUACUAAGCUGGAAUUCUUAUAUAGUCAACUUCGCAAUCAACAAGAGAGAAACAAACCACCUUUCAAUUAAAUUCAAAAACAUGUAGGCUAAGCAAGUCCAGGAAAAGAAACAUAUCUAACUAGAAACAUCCAUACUCAAGAAGUAGACAAAGAUACACUUGAGAAGAUGUAGACAACACUUGUAGGCCUAAUGAGAAUUGAGAUCUAGAAACCUUGGGACAAAGUACCCGGGCCCUUGGAAAUAUUGAGAUCCCUAGCAAUAGAUGCGUCUGCUUCACCAUCAUUUUCACUCAAGCCACGAAAGCAUCCCUAGCUAUUUGGAUUUAUCUAUAUAUGCAAUGCAACUUAGAAGAAUCAAAAUGUAAAUUGCCUAUAUCAUUCUUUAUCAUUCUGCCUCACCAAAAAGUUGGGAACCAUUUCAACUGCAGUUAAAGAUUUUUUUUUUUAAAAAAAACUCAUAUUUUUGAGUUGCAUUGGGUCUUUUAUUUGUACUUUUUUUGAUGUUCAUGUUUUAAAGUGACAAUUAUUUCAUCGCCGUAGACACGUUGAAUUUAUAUAAAGGGACAAGUAUCACUUUAAAAUACAAUGUAACAUGAGUGUAACAUCAAAUAGAGGAUUCAAAGUCACUUUUGAGGUGAAAUUCCAUAAAGUAAUGAAAAAUAAGUCACCCGUAUCUUAGGUAUUUCAAUUUUCGUGACCCUACAAGCCCAAAAAUAUAUAUUUGAAACAUGAAACCCUCGUUAGUGAUAGUCAUUAUUUGAAUACUUAUCGAUUUAAACAUUUUUUACGACGUAUGUUUACCGAUAUUAAUAACUUUAGAAAACAUAAUUGGUGGCUUUGGAUUCUUUAAUAUACUUUUGGAUUUUACAUUUACACUACACCAUGUUUUAGGUAAAUUUUCUUCAUAUCAGUUCUUUAUACUUCAUUUAAAUAAAGGGACUAUUGUGGACACUGCUAGGUUGGAAAACUACGUUUUGCAGCAGAUGAUGGUUAUACCAAAUAUGACAUAUUAGUGCAUUAAUAUUCUCCCUUUAUUGGCCCUCCUCUGACAUAAAAAAGACGCAAGAAAACUUUUUGAUUCUGAUCAUUAACGUAUUGAAAUAUUCAACAAAAAGGUGAAGUUGUAAACUGCCGCAACAAACUGUGGGUCUCAACACAUAAUGAGAAGAGCUUGACGUUGGGUCUCCUUCAGCUAUUGUAUGGAUGGAAAGAGCCUCAAAACCUAAAAUGUUGUAAUAUAUAUAUAUAUAUGUAUGUAUGUAUUGUAUACACAUUCAUUAAUGUGGGACACUAUUUUGUUUGACAUAACAUAGGAACUAAAAAUCACAAGGCUUCGAACCAGCAGCACAAGUGGUAGUGGCAUGGGCUGCCCCUCCACCAAAAGAAGAAAAGAAAAACUAAAAUUCAUGGAAAGCACUAAGGCUACGUCUGAAUGAUAGUUGUGUGGUAAAGUGGAGUGCAAGAAAGGGAAGUGAAGGAAAAAUUAAAAUUAGUUUUUCAUACAAGUUUAUUUACCACUAUCUAAAUGAAUUUAAAACAAAAAAAAUUAAAUAUCGUUCAAAAAGUGUUAAAAUCUAACUCAGUUGGAUAAAGAUAUUAGCUAUAGCUAACCGUGAAACUCUUGAAUCGACUAUCUAACUUUUUCCCUUUCACUCCCUUUACUAAGGCUUAGGUUCCGUUUGAUAAAACUGAAUAUGAAUUCUGAAUUCUGAAAUCUGAAUACUGAAACAAUUAAUUUGUUCAAUUUUAAGCACUGAAAAAAAUAUAUGAAUGUCUGAAUUUUAAUGUUAAAUCUAUUUAUACUAUUUGAUAAAUAUUUAUAACUGAAUGCUUAAUAAGUUUAAUUUGACAAAUUUGCCCUUAUAUCCUUUCAUUCUAAAAAAGGAAUAGAAUCUAUGAUUUAAUUAGUUUAAAAUUGUUAGGUAUGAAAAUGACAAUAUUUAUUUUUAAAUCAAAUUAAUAUAAAAUGUGAAAUAUAUUAUAUGAGGAGUAUGGAGAAGAUGUGAAAGCCAUUAGAAAGGGAGAAAAGAGAAACUAAAAAUUGUUAGAUAGAGAAUAUUAUAUUGUUUAAUUAGAUAAGAAUUUUGAACAUAAUUAACAAACAAUGGUAGAUUUGGUAGAUAAGAUAAGGUAACUGAAGUAAUUCUAUUGAUUCUUAUCAGAAUUAAGCAUUCAGUUAGGAUUCUUGUGCUGAAAAAAAUACACACAGGUUCAGCACUUCUUAACAAAUUCAGCAAAUAGAUUUUCAUUUAUCAAACACUCAAAACAUCUGAAUGUCUGAAAAAAUUCAGAUUCAGCAUUUUUUUAUGUUAUCAAACAGACCCUUAGACUCUCAAUCGAACCAACAAGAAAAAAGAAAUUGUUCAAAGGAUCCAUUGCCAAUUGAAAGAUUUUGGAACAAUCCUUCUCCUCUUCGGGGACUAAAAUCCAGUUCUAACAAUUAGGAUUAUUAUCUGCUUAAUCGGAAGUACGUCAUAAAAUUAAAAAAAAAAAAAAGUCCAUUUUGAAGAGCAUGAAAUCCUCUGAAAAUGAGUAUUCCCAGAAGAAGUAUCCAGACGAUACUCCUCGAAAGCCACUGACGACAGAUAUUAUCAGGCUGAAAUCGACUGCCUAUAUAGUACGUAUUUAUGAAAUGAUGACCAGGAAAUUAUCAUCGUUUCUUGGCUGAAUUUUACUACAUUAAUCAUGGAAAAAAAAGGUACUUAGCUCUUACUAAGAGUAAUUAAACAUAUUAUCAAAAUUAAAAAUGCAUAGACGUCAGGUUUUAUAUUAUUUUAUCAGCCAACUGUGUUCCUAUUUAUUGUUUUAAACUAAUUUAAUAAAAGUGCUAUGAUCAUGAAGAAUCAACCACUCUACUUGAGUACUAGUGGCAAAAAUAUUCUCCAUGAGCAAUGUUUGUGAAAUUAUUGAUUGUAUUCACGGAAAAAGUUUGAGACAUAAUCAUGUGUUAAGCCAUAAAAUGCGACAAGAGGAACAUAAUAAUUAAUUCUUCUUAUAGGAAUAAAGUAUAAAGGAAAAGAUGAAGGACAUGAUCAAGGGGACUGUACCAAAUUGAUUACACAUGAUCACCAUUUUUUUGGCUAAGAAGUUCAAGCACAUGACUUUAUCCAUGGCUUUUGCAUUCUUAAUUAGCUUAAUAUAAUACCCCAUCUGCCAUUUUACGAUUACAAAAAAUUCCGUUUAGGUUUUCUUUCUUUUUCUUCUUUGUUGUGCACUGGUGUUGGCGGUGGGGGGAGGAAAAUGGCGGUUCGUAAAUUACUGUUGAUAAUCCUCCAAUUGUAUGUUAGUCAAUAAAAUGCACAUAAGGGCUGGAUUUGCUUCGACUAAAUAAUUAAAAUUUCAAUCUUUACAUAAUAAAAGUUGUUUCAAAGUGCUUUUUCAAUUUUCUUUUGUCUCGUUUAUGUAUACCUUUUGACAUCAUUAAAAUAAAAAUAGAAACAGAAACAGGAUACAGCGAUGAAAUGGAACAAGAACAUCCGGACACUCUGAGGGAGGAUUGAGUUGAAUGAUAAGGAGGGAGAGAUUUCUGAAUUCAAAACCUUUCACUUGUUAAAAAAAAAAAUGUCUAGAUACCACAAUUAUAUGUUCCAUCAUCAAGAUUUACAACUUUUUUUUCUGAAAUACCUUUUGUUCUUAGCUUGAUUUCGCUCAAAAGAAACACAAUGAUUUUGAUGUAGAUGCUUCAGUUUCCUAACAACCCUAGAGUUGUUAAACUCAGAAUAGUCCUUAUUUUGAAUGGUUUUAGUUUAGUUCUGCAAAGACUGCACCACAGUACUAAAUAAACCAGAUGUAACCUUAAAUGAGCCAAAAAAGAAGUCCCACAUUUCUACCAGAGGUCAACAGCUAUUAAAGUCUGUAAGCCAAAAGGACACCUGCAUGGACUUUUCUUUUUCUUUUUAUUUUUAAAAUUAAAACCGCGAUAGUGCACAGAUUAGGUUUUUACUCUCGUAAACAAUACAACAUGGGAGACACAGAGUUGACCAAGUCUAUUGCCCACGUUUCUGCACAGUUUCUCUGGAAUCUGCUACAGCGUAUCACUACAAAACUCCAAGUUCUUCUUGAAUAUUGACCUUAAUUGCACGAAUUAUUGCGUCGACAUGGUAUAACUUUUUGUUACCCAGAUUUGUCGUCAUUCUAUACAAGGCUUUCAAGAUUAAACGGAUUUAGUUAUCAGGAGAAAAGUAGUUAAGGCAGGCUUGGCUGGCCAUUAUUGACUAACGUAUGUAAUCUGUAGUUGGAUGCAAGAAAUUUUUUUUUUUUUUUGCGUGGAAAAAGUCUGGUGUUACAUAAAUAAAGAUGAACAGUACAUGAUGAUAUAAAGUCGAAAAGGACAACUCUUCAUGCGUCUAGUGGUGACUUCGAUUGGAUACAAUCAAAAUUACUCAAGUGGUAAUUAAAAUCAAAUUUGCUGAAUAAUUCACCCAUGAAAAGCGAUUUUAAAAAUAUGAUAUCUCUGAGCGAGCAUAGACACAAAUAUAAAAAUUUCUAAAAAUUAUAUCAUGAUAUGGAUUAUUAAAAGUAAUUUUAAAAGCAUGAUACCUCUAGGCUUAGAUAUAAAUAUAAAAAUUUUUUAAAAUCAUAUAAUAAAGUGGGCUAUCUUUUUUUUGGUAAAUUGGAACAUACCCCGAGUUAAAUUCUUUAGACUCGAACCGACACACCAAACCGAAGGCAACGUCACAGCCCCACGCAAUGUUUACUUGGACAAGUCACAAGGUGCUUCGAAGAGCAGUUUCGAUUUCGAACCUUUGUGUCCCAAAGGGUCGCUGUUAUCAUUGGACCAACCUCGUGGGGGCGCAUUCCUCACCGACGCCGGCGUCACACGAGGUCGACGAGUCCAAGGGGACGUGACGUCUCGAGACGACAACGACAGUCAUAAGCAGGCUAUCUUUUAGACGUUGUUUAAUGUAGGAUUUUCCUUUACUGAAAUACCGAAGGCAGAUUAAUUUUUCCAUUUCACAGUAUACUAGUUCUUGAUGUGUAAUGUUGGUGCAGCCCAACACCAAGUCAACUUCCAUAGGAAUUUUUCCACAUUAGUACACCUUUUUGAAAGCUGCCCGCAAGCUAUAUAGGAAUCAUGGGAUGAACAAAGAUUGCAUUAUAAAUUAAGUAGUUAUAAAAAAAAUGAUGAAGGUCAAAAAGUAUGAUCAUUGGAAUACUUAGUGUAUCGCUUUCUCGCCCUUUACAAUUGGUUUCUCCAGCUGCCUAGUCAUUCCUCCCAGAGCUCCCGCGCCAGCAGAUUAAAUUAAAGCAUGCGUUUGCUUCCUUUUCAAAGAAUUCAAAAGUUUUCCUACCAUUUUUUUAAACUAUUCUUUAGACAUCACUGACCUAGUUGUUCUUCUUUUCUAUGUGACCUGAUUGGAAUUGACAUGGAAUUUCCUGAAUAAAAGAACGAAGUUAUUGUAGAAAAAAAAAAAGAAAGUGUUUAUUAACUUUAAAGAAAUAAUGUGUAGGCAAAAGAGCAUGAAAAAUGUUGUUGAAUUGUUAUACACCAACUAUAUUCUAAUGGCCUUGGUUAUCUGUGAUGAGUAUAAUUUCAUUAAUUUCGAGCUUUAUUUUAGUUCAUAAUUAACUGUACAAAGAAAAAAAAGGAAAAAAAAAAAAACGUUUUUCCUUUACAAGUAUGAUGUCUUAUCCCUCAAAGACCCGAACGGGACCUUAGAUUUCAUCUGUAAUCAAUUGCUCCAACUCUGCCCCUCACCCAUAAAAAGGUAGAGAAAUUGAAUCAUCAAUAAAUGGAAGUUUAUCAAGUUCGCGAUAUUGCAUAAGAAGUUUUGAUUUAGUAGCUAAAAUUAAGAUCACAGGGCGUUGCGGUAAUGGAUUUAAUCUCUCUUCACUCGCUUUGCUUCUUAAAUCCCACGAAAAUUUAAAAAAAAAAAAAAAGAUUGCUAUUUGACCUUUUUUGUACAACUAGAAAAUUCAGUUAUAGUAAGAAAAUUUGUGGAGAGGGCGCUUUUUUCUCUAAUUUCAAUAUGAUAUAAAUGAGACAUUUAACUUUAUUCUUCAAGACAAACAACAGAAUGAUGCAAGUUAGACUAGGCCAUUGAGUUCAUUGCACAAGAAAUUGAAGCCACUUUAGGACCAAUCAAAUUAACCAUUGAAUUUGUUGCCUGAUCAAAAUCAUUAGCAAAAGGGAGUUAUAUAACAUGUUUGAGGAGGAAAACUUGGGUUGAAUAGGAGGGUUCUCCACUCUACAAAAGGAAGACAAUUAAAAUAACUACAUCUUCACAAACAUGUUGAUAGCCCUAUGAUAUAUUUUGAAUUUAUUUGGUAUGCAUGAAAACAUUUUAUUGUAAAAAAUUUUACACCAGAUACUUAACCAGUGUUAUAUAUAAUAUCAUCAUCCUACGGCCUAAAAAAUCUAACAAUAAUGUUUUUCAAUGCAUUUGCUGCAAUAAAAGCAUGGGAAGUGGAGAAGAAAACCUGCGCAGAACAAAUUCUUUUUCCCCUGCCUGAUAUGGACCAGUCCUACACUCCUACUCCUAACCGAGUUGAAGCUUUAAUGCAAGAAUUAAACGCAAGCGAGGCUAGGCAGUCAAUUAAGGUUAUGAUCCUCAUUGUGGAGUUGUGGACCUUGAAAUAAUUGAGAUUUCUAAACAAAAAUGAUGAUCAUCAAUAGCAACUCAUGAUGGUUGAACUUAAAAAGCCAAGGCAAACCUCUUUCUCAACACCAUUUUAAACUAUUUUUGUUACACUUUCAUUUCACAUGGAAUGCUAAGAAAGAUUUUCAUACAAUUUCAUGUGAUCUAUCAUAACUCGUCACGUUCAAUGCUCCAACAACAAAUAAGAAAACUAUGCUAUUUUCUUUAGAUGAAUUGUUGAAAUUUACCAAAAUUUGAUUUUAGCUCUUAAAAUGUGAAUUUAAGUAAUUUCGUUCCUGGAACCUUUUUAGUAUACCAGUGAAGUCAUUAGUCACAUCAAUCUUAGUUGUUGAGAGAACAAUGUGCUACUGAUUCUGCUACAUUUAUUUUUAACAGCAAAGUUAAUGAAUCAACAAAGUGCAGAUGUAUGAAUCUCAUACAAGCCAUCUCCAAUUGAUUGAGUGAAAGAUAAUGUGAUUGUGGACUGACAAAUCUUGAAAUUCUUAACUAUGAAUAGUCUCAAUAUGUCAAUGCUGCAACUUUAUUUGACUGGGAGUGGGUUUGACAAAACUGAAGUCUAAAAACUAAAAUAUGAAAUCUGAAUUCAAUUCGCAACUGAGGAGAGAGUUAUAUGAUAAUAUUCCACCCAAAUUAGUUUGUAGUCCUUCAAUUAUCCUCAACUAAUCGAAAUUCUGACAUUAUGAAGACGAAAUACGUUUUGAUUUAGACUUUAGAGAUAAAAUUAGUUCACACCCCUAACAUUAGGCACAAAAAGUGCAUUUUUCACAUUUGCCAGUGCUGUGCAAUUAGAUUAGUGUCUGUGACUCCUUCCCUACACUUAACUGCUCCCUCCAUUUCCUCCACAAAAAAAAAAAAAAAAAACUGUUCCCUCCAUUCCCAAGUGCCAACUCAGCAAAAUGGCAAAUUAGUAAAAAAAGAAGACUAAUCGACAGAGUAGGUGGCGCGAAAAUAACGUCGUCGUAGUCGACCUGUUCCUCGGUCUACUCCAACGUCCUUUUAACUGAAAGUUCACCUCUUUCGUAUUUUUUUUCUUAUUUCUUUAUUCAAUUUGAAUUAACGUUUAAAAAACUAUUUAUUCAUUUUCAAUUCUAAUUAAAAAUAACUCUUCUUCCUUCCCUCUCUCCAUAAAUUUUGAUCUCAGUUGUAAAAAUCUCCCCGCUGCUGAUUCAAUAACCUUCUUCCCUUGUCAAUCUUUCUCGCCGGAAAAUUUUCUUCCGACGGCUUACCGACAAACGAUCUUUGCCGCUUCCGACUAUUUCAUUGUCCUAUAACCGGUUAGAUUGAAUUUCUUUAAUCUUUAUGUGUAUUUAUUAUUAUCUUAGGUUUUUGCUUUUUGAUUUUGUAGAAAACUUUUGUCAACUGAAAACUGUGAUAUUAUAUUAGAAUCCGAAGUUUCCUAGCGAAAUUUUGUCCCUUUUUCUUUUCCUUUUGGGUGUUUUUCGAGAGUGAAUUUAGUGAUAAUACGAAAUUCGAAAAAUGAAUCUUUUGAUUGUUUUUGGGUUUGUUUUUCAAAAACACCACUGUAGCAUUUUGAAUCUGAAAAACAAGUCCGUUUGGAUUAGUUGUUUUUGGGGUUGUUUUUCAAAAACUAUAUGAAAAACUUUUACUGUAGAUUUUUUUGGAUUAUUUUUAGAGGUAUUUUGGAAACAUAUUUUUGAGUAUUUUUAGAAUAUUAUAAUUUUUAUAUUUUUAUAUAAAUAUAUAUUUAUGCAUUUAUAAUCCAUUUAUAUUUACAAAUGUAUAGAAGUAUAUUAUUAUAAAUGAAUAAAUUAUAAAUGAAUAUUAUAUAAAUGUAUAAAUUAUAAUUUAUAUUUUUAUAUUUUUAUAUAAAUAUGCAUUUAUAAUACAUUUAUAGAUAUUUAUAAAUAAAUAUAUUUAUAAAUGUAUUAUAUUAUAUAUAAUACAUAAUAUAAAUAUAUUUAUAAAUGUAUAACUGUAUAUUAUUAUAAAUGUAUAAAUGAAUAUUAUAAAUUAUAAGUGUAUAUUAUUAUAAAUUUAUAAAUUAUAAAUGAAUAUUAUAAAUGUAUAAAUUAAUAUAUUAUAAAUAUAUAUUAAUAUUAUGUAGAAAUGUAUUUAUAUAAUUAAUAUAAAUGUAUAUUUGUAUUGAUAUUAUGUAUAAAUGUAAAAUUAAUAUUAUGUAUAUUAAUAUAAAUGCAUAAGUGUAUAUUAUUAAAAAUGUAUAAAUUAUAAAUGAAUAUUAUAUAAAUGUAUAAAUUAAUAAAUUAUAAAUAUAUAUUAAUAUUAUGUAGAAAUGUAUUAAUAUAAUUAAUAUAAAUGUAUACAUGUAUUAAUAUUAUGUAUAAAUGUAAAAUUAAUAUUAUGUAUAUUAAUAUAAAUGUAUAAAUGUAUAAAUUAAUAUAUUAUAAAUAUAUAUUAAUAUUAUGUAGAAAUGUAUUUAUAUAAUUAAUAUAAAUGUAUAUAUGUAUUGAUAUUAUGUAUAAAUGUAAAAUUAAUAUUAUGUAUAUUAAUAUAAAUGUAUAAAUGUAUUAAUAUAUAUAAUACAUAAUAUAAAUGUAUAUUUAAAUGUAUAAGUGUAUAUUAUUAAAAAUGUAUAAAUUAUAAAUGAAUAUUAUAUAAAUGUAUUAAUUAAUAAAUUAUAAAUAUAUAUUAAUAUUAUGUAGAAAUGUAUUAAUAUAAUUCAUAUAAAUGUAUACAUGUAUUAAUAUUAUGUAUAAAUGUAAAAUUAAUAUUAUGUAUAUUAAUAUAAAUGUAUAAAUGUAUUAUAUUAUAUAUUAUACAUAAUAUAAAUGUAUAUUAUAAAUAAACAUAAAUAUUUAUAUAUUGUGUAUAAAUGUAUAAUAUAUUAUACAUUAUAUUAUAUAUAAUUUAUAUAACAUAUAAUAUUUAUGUAAAUAUAUUAUAAAUAUAUAAAAAUAUAUUAUAAAUAAAAUAAAAUAUUUAUAAUAUGUAUGUAUAGAUAUAUAAUAUUAGAAAUGUAUAAUAUAUAUAAUAUACAUUAUUAUUAAUAUAAUUUAUGUAUAAUAUACAUAAUUGAAAUAUACAUAUUAAUAUAUAUUAUAAAACAAAAUUGAAUAAAUAUAUUUAUAAAUUUAUAUAUAAAUAAAUGUAUUUAUAUAAAUAUAUAAUAUUUAUUUCAAUUGAUAUAAUAUAUAUAAUAUUAUACAUAAUUGAAAUAAAUAUAUUUAUAUUAAUAUAAUAUAUAUAUAUAAUAUACAUAAUUGAAAUAUACAUAUUAAAAUAUAUUAAAAUAUAAUUGAAAUAUACAUAUUAAAAUACAUAAUUAAAAUAUAUAAAUUGAAAUAUACUUAUUAAAAUAUACAAAUUAAAUAUACAUAAUUGAAAUAUAUUUGGAAUUGUUUUUGAUAUAUUGUUUGGAUAUGGGUGUUUUUGAAGUUGUUUUUGAAAUACACAUUACUGUAGCAUUUGGAAUGUGAAAAACAGUUUUUCAAAAACAGGUGCAAAAACACUCCAUCCAAACGCAGCCUUAUGUUCAUUUUUUAAAGUAUUUCGUGAAGCUUCGCUCACGGAGAUUAUACAUGAAAGCAGCAGAUGUUGUCAAAAUUUGGAACAAAACCUGACAAUUCCCAGACGAAUACUUCCAAUAAAUUAUUAUUGUUUAAAUUGUUGUUAAGCAUUUUCAUCGGUUACUGUACCUCAGAACCUGUAAAAAAAAAAAAUUUCAAAUCUUGAACUAUUGUUUAUUCAUUUUUCUCAUAAAUAAUUGUACUACGUGAAUAUUUUCUGUUUUUCGUAUUCACUUUGUUGUAUUUAUGAUAGCAGAGUAAAUUUAUGGGGAUGGACAAUGAUCUCCACAUGCACGUGGUCCUCAGUAUCUGUUCCCAUUACUCUGCAAUUAUAUGCUUCAUCAUUUAUCAAUACCAUUCCGCGUCUUUAAUUAUUUAAUUUUUUUUAUUAUUAGAAUUAUGCCCUGCAAAAAGACAAAUUCCAAUUUUGUAUUUUUGAGUUUUUUUAGUAUUUUGGAUUUAGAACUAUGCUAAUUAAGUUAAAAUUAAGGGGAGAAGCUGAUUCUUUGAUGCAAUUUAGAAAAACCCACGACAUGGUUAGAAUGAGAAAAACUGUUGUAUUUUUUCUCUAUUUGAAAUUUAGAGUUUCAAGAAUUUGGAUGAAGGUAUUUAGAGUCAGAAAUGACACUCAUUAGAAUGGAUGCCCGUAUGGGGGAUGUAGGUGUAAGUGUUGGGAGAGGGGUAGAGAGUAGAUUCUUGUAACUUUCAGUCCCAACGAAUUCCCUUUCAUGAAAAGGAGUUGAGUGGGUAAAAUAGAAACAGGCCAGAGGGGCUUAGAGAGAAAAGUGAGAGAGGAAGAGAGAAAGAACUGUGUGUGUGUGUGUUGUUUAUAUCCAGCCAGAAGGACCAUGGCACUCCCGUGAGAUGGGACAAAAGGUAGAGGGGCCAAAGUGAAAUGGUAAAUCAAUAAAGAAACAAAUUAAAGAAUAGUGGAGGGAAGAAAAAAAGAAAAAGAAAUGAGGAGGGAAGAAAGAAAGAACUAAGAAUCAAUAAUAGCAUAUAUCAAAUCCAAAUUUUGCGUUUCUUUUUCUUUCUAUAUUCCUACCUUCAUUACACCUUCUUUUCAAUUCCUGAAGGGAGGGGGUUGGAUUAUCCUUUUGUUGUUUCAUUCUUCUUGUAUGUUUCAGAAGACUUUACAAUUCAAAUUUGAAUGAAUCUUUGAAUGUGGUAUAUUCUAGCCCACAUUUGGGUUCUUCUUGUGAAGCUUGAUUGUGUCUGAUCUACCUGGUUUUUGGGUUGCCAGUGUUAAUUGCAGAAUACCCUUUUGCAUUGAUUCCCUGAGAUUAUGAAAUUCUCAGUUGUUCAGAUCCAACCGUCUGUAAAGAUGUAUACUUUUGAUAGUUCUUUAUCCUUUUUCUGCUCACGCGUUAUUCUUUUCUUCUUUUUCCUAUCUGUGAUAUCUUACUCUUAGCUAUUGAUGUAUGACAGGUUAUCAGAGUAAAGCACAGUCUUUUAAAGAAAUUGGAGUAGACCAUGAGAGUUCAAUGUGGGUAUAUAAAAGUUUUACAAAGAUAUGUUUGAUUCUGUUGUGAAGGGGAGCUCCAAUGUGGCGUAAUUUGGACAAUUUGGAUGGAUUUAUGUGAAUUACAGCGAGUAUUACAGAAACAGUUUACAGUGGGCACCCCAAGACCACCAUUGAUUCCGGCAGACAAGAAUAAUGGAACCACUCGCCGGUCUCGAACAAGAGAAGUUAGUUCUAGAUACAAGUCACCUACUCCAGUUGCAUCUUCUGGUCCAAGGCGUUGCUCUUCCCCAACUGUCACAAGAACAACAAAUUCAAAUGUGUCAGUACCAAAAAGAGCUAUAUCUGCUGAGAGAAAGCGGCCCUCAACGCCACCAUCACCACCAAGUCCGUCUCCAUCAACACCAGUGCAGGACACAUCGACAGAUGUGCUUUUGGCAUCAAGAAAGGUAGCAGGCAAUCGGUUGCCUGAGUCGUUAUGGCCGUCUACGAUGAGGAGUCUUAGUGUUUCUUUCCAGUCUGAUACUUUUUCUCUGCCUAUUAGUAAGAGGGAAAAACCAGUUAAUCAUGCUCUUGCUGAUCGGACUCUGAGGCCACCAUCCAAUGUAGCACAUAAGCAGAGUGAAACAAUAACCCCUGCUUCACGAAAGCCUACACCAGAGAGAAAAAGGAGUCCACUGAAAGGAAAGAAUUCUGCUGAUCAGUCUGAGAAUUUUAGACCAGUUGAAGGUGUGCAUUCUCGACUGGUAGAGCAGCAUAGAUGGCCUAGUAGAGCAGGUGGAAAAUUAUCUGCAAAUACAGUAAAUAGAAGUAUUGAUCUUGGUGACAAGGCCGGUAGGAAUUCAUCUUUGCAACAGUCAGGAUCUGGGGUACCUUCCUUACGGAGAUGGUCCUUGGAUGGUAUGACUAAGCCUUUACAAAAAUCCGCCAGCAACUUGUUGGCACCAGUGUCAUCUGAUGAAGGUGGGAAACAAGUGAUUGGUGAUUGCUCAGCUGAUGAUAAUUCAUUGCACUUACAUAAGCCUGUCUCUUCGAGUUUUUUGGAAAGAUCAAAGCUAAUGAACGCUGCAAUUAGAUCUCAGUCUUUACCUGUUCACAGUUCUCGUCCCCCAUCACCGAAUAAAGCGUCAGUGACCUCAUCCACUAUUUCACGAGGAGUCAGUCCAUCCAGGGCGAAAAGAGUGAGUCCUGUUCCAUCAAGAGGGCCGAGUCCAUCACGAUCAAGACCAUCAAGCCCAUCAAGACAGUCCAGUAAUCCAACUUCUGUUCUCAGUUUCAUUGCUGAUAUCAAAAAGGGAAAGAAGACAGUGAAUUACAUUGAAGAUGCUCACCAACUGCGGCUAUUGUACAAUAGACAAUUGCAGUGGCGAUAUGCUAAUGCUACCGCAGAUGCUGUGCUGAGUUCUCAAAAAGAAAAAGCUGAGGUUUGUCUUCUCUUAUUUGUGGAACUUUACAUGCCUUAUAUGUGCUGUCAAGUUACAUACUAUUUAAAGUUAGAAAUCCAACAUAGCUAUCAUUGAAUAACACAAAUAUGAACAUCUUAUAUCUCCAUGUGUAUAAUGCUACAUUCAGCUUGUUGGACAUCAAUCCUUUUGUUAGUUUCCAUAUCUUUUGUCAUGGAAAAUGCAUUGUCGCCUGCUAAAAUGUGGACUCUGACCUAAUAUAGAUUUCACUGAUGAGAAACAUGAUGAUGCAGCUAACGUUAUAUAGCGUCUGGAGAAGUACGUCAGAUUUGCGAGAUUCAGUAAUCAAAAAGAGAAUAAAACUGCAACAGCUAACAUUAAAGUUGAAGCUGUACGCAGUUUUGAAUGAACAGGUAUUCAUCAUGUCCUUAAAAUGAAGCUUGCAUUAGUUUCUGGUGCAUGGGUCUAAAUGACUCUUUCCAUGUGGUUUCCAUCAUUUAUUUCACUUUGAAAGCUUAUCAAUAAGAAUCAAGCAAAUGAAAUAUACAAUUUCUGGAAAGAAGCUUUGAGUGUUGUCAUUGACUCAAGUAUAAUGCAACUAAAACGUUCAUAACAUCAGUAAUUGAGUUUUGCUAUCCAUAGCUGAUGAGGAUGCAGAAGUAAAUGAAAAUGAUUUUUUUGCAAGAGACUUGCAUUUGCAGUUGCAUGGCCUGCCUAAUAACAGUGACAAUUUAUUUCAAAUUGAUUCUUAUGUUUUGCUCGCAGUUGAAGCAUUUUGAAUUAUGAAAGUAUAACAAUGUUCAUGAACUUCAUCGUCCAAGCCUGGAAUUUAGAUAUAUCAUGCUCAAAGUUCUUCAAGUUAUCUCUUCAUUUAAACCCAACUCAUCAUUGGUGUUUCAUUAUUCUUUUCAAUGAUUAGUAAAUUGACGCUAAAAAGUAAGUUUUGACAUCUCAGCUGGCCUACCUUGAUGAGUGGCCAGGAAUUGAGAGGGAUCAUGCUGAAUCGUUAUCCCAGGCUAUCACAGAUCUGCAAGCAAGCACUCUCCGCCUUCCAGUCACUGGAGGGGCAAGGGUAUGUUGGUCCCAUGAGUUACUAAAGCUCAUUUCACUAGAAGAUGAUUGUUAAGAUGUUCUACAUUUUACAGGGAGAUAUCCAAACUGUCAAGGCAGCUGUUUGCUCAGCAGUGGAUAUAAUGCAGGCAAUGGGAUCCUCCAUAUGUCUUAUACUGUCACAGGUACUCUUCAUCAAGGCUUGUAGAUGCUAAUCGCUCUUAAGGCAAAAAUGUAUUGGGUUUUAUUAGGAAAGUUGCAUAUUUCCUGGAUUUCCCUUGGCCUUUUGGACCUUAUUUAAUUGGUCAUCUGGUAUUAUUAGCUUUAUCGCAUAAAUUCACGUUACAGUACCUGAAAACAAUAACAAAUUUAAGUACCUUGGCAACAGACCUUUUCCUUGAUUUUCUGAGUCACAUAAUCCUUGAGUUGGUUAUUUUUGAUAAAUUUGUUCGAGAAUAGCUUAAUGGGAUGCUACAUGCUGUUUAUUAUUAAGAUGAAUCCUGUGAUGAGGUGUAAUUUGUUUUGACAAAGAUGUACAUGAUGACAUGUCUUCUUCUUGAAGAUUCCAUAAGGAUGUUAUAGGCUCAUAUUGCUCUGACAAAGAAAUGUAGAAGCAAUCUCAACCAUAUGUAGAUAGAUUAAUUAGAAAUAAGCUUUUAAACAUCUGAUCUUAUUGCUGUUUCUGCAAUCUGAUACUGUCAUGUAAACAACUGGUAUGCUCUUAAGUCUUGAACUUUCAUCUUUUAUCCAUUCAGGUGGAGGAAAUGAACUGCCUGGUUUCUGAACUUGCUGACGUGGUAGCUCAAGAAAGAGCAAUGCUUGAUGAAUGUGAGGCUCUCUUUGCGUCAACAUCUGCAAUGCAGGUAAAGACUAGUUUCUAAGUGAUGUUAUUAGCUGUAGUGUGGAGUCCGUAUAUACACUGAGUGUGCAUUUUGCAUUCUUCUCCAAUUUCCAUUCCCUCCUUCUUUUUCCAUUUUUUUCCUCCUUGCCACACCUUCCUCAUUUAGUUUUUGGACCGAAUGAAAGUUGUACCUCUUGUGAAGCUUGGAGGACCAUUUCAAAGUACAUAAAAACUAUUUGUGUUGUGAAUAAUUGUCCCUUAUCAAAUGGCAGAUUCAUGCCAUACGACAUUUUAAGCCUAUUAUUUCUGAGAUACGGGAUAAAAGAAUGCACAUAACCACAAAUUGAUAUAAAGUAAAUGAGAAUCAUUAAACUGACUUUUAGUGUUUCAGGAUGAAACUAGGAUGUUAUUUAGUUCUUCAUGCAUGAAAAUCAACCAAUAGGUAUUAAUCAGGAUGAGUUUUCAUAUUCAUUACUUUCUCUUUUAAAAUCCCACGUGAUUAAGGUGUAAAAUGCCAUUUGAGCGACAGCUGAACAUUUUUUGUUAAGCGUUUGCAUAAGACCUGUUUGUCCUGAUGCCAUACAAGGUUCAUGACAUAAUGAACUGCUGCAACAGCCGUAUUCUUCUUUUUCUCUAGUUAUUACUUCUGUUUUGGUAGUUAUACCAAGUUGGAAGAUGAAGGUAUGUCAUGGUGAUUGAUGUUGGCAACUGUUUUUCUGAUGGCCUUAAUUAUUUUUGAGAAUCUGAUGUAUCCCACUGGAUAAGGAUCUUUAUUCCUUCUCGCAAAAUGAUGGUUUGAUUGUUUACCAUCUCCAUUGCCCUUCCCCUUUUCGUUUCUUCCUUUCAACUCCAUCUAGAAAGAAUGUUUUGAAUUUCCUUAUGUUGGUUUCUGGAGAUCACCACAUCAUCCCCUAGAUUACGUAAACAGGUCCUGUCUCUCUCUCUCUCUCUCUUUUAGAACUUGGUUUGCGGAAUAUCUUUUGUAAGGUCUCUUUUAAGUAUACUUGUUGAUAUCUAUAAUGUUGGUCUUAAUGUAGGUAGAGGAAUACAGCCUUAGAACCCAUCUUGUACAGUUGAAAGAAGCUUGGAUAAAUGAUCAAUUGAUCUCUGGGAAUUAAAUGAACCAACGGAGGCUUCCACAAGGAACACUAACAACUUUCUUAAGGAAGAAAGUGAUACUGCUGUCAUAGCUAUUAGAGAGUGUAAAAUGAAAUAUAUAAUUUAUGUAGGCAUCUUUUUUUCUUUUUAACCUGGUAGAAUUGUGUAAUUUAGUAAUUAUAUUUUUCUUCAAUUUUUACUUCUUUACUGAGGGGCAAUUGUAAUUGCUCUAUCAGUUUUCAUGUAAUUUUUGUCUCGUGAUUGAAUGAAAAUGCAACAAAGAAGAGGGGUUAAAUUUAGAGAGAAUUUUUCUCAACAGUUCAUCUAUAAUACGUCUUCUUCUCUCAUCUUAUAUAAUAUUGGCCUCUGAAGGUACUGAUAUAUAAUUUUCCUUUCCUUCACGUACUAUUUUCUAUCACUAACGUGGUUCGUGAUUCUUGGGAUGAACGAGUGGAUCGUAUGACCUUGAGUUCGCAUGAAUGUGUGAAAAUCCAGAUGCACAGAAAGUUGGCUAAUAGAUGUGUUACAGAACGUGUAGCUGUAAAUUGAAUUCUGAAAAAAGGUCAAAAACUGCUACAUGCCCUGCAAGACAGGCAAAUUUAACAAAAUUAGGAUGUCAAAGCUCUUGAUUUUCUUUGAGAUCAGUUGAUCUGUUGUUUCCUUUUUCCAUACUAUGAUGCUUCUCUGGGAUUCACUGUGCCAGACACCCUAUCAGCAGCCUUCUUUGCCUACAAAAGGGGCCAAAGAAAAAAGAGAUAUUGGAACCGCUUGAGCAAAAUUGCAGAAAAUUACAGAAGAAACUGUUUUACCUCUUUCUCCCAAUUCAUUCGCAAAGUUAUUAUUCCAAGAAGUGAUGUUUGUGCAGCCAGCGCCACAAUAAUGCCAAUCCAAAGCCCCUGUGCACCAUAUUAUGAUCAGACAAGAUUAUUUGUCAUUUUGCUUCCUGUGGCUAGGUACUUUAUUGGAAGUUGUUGUGGAACAGAGGAAAUGGGGAGGAAUGGAAGCAAUGCAGUCCAAGUGUACCUUUCCUCCAACAUGAUAGACAAAUGCUAACAGUAUAGCAGAAGGUAUUCCCAACAAAUAAUAAGCUCCCAAAUUGAUGACUGCACCUACCCUUUGCCAGCCACAUCCUCUUGCAGUGCCUGGAAUUCAUUUGGAUAGAAGCUUUGAUAAAAGAUCAUUUUAUCCUUGAGAAUAUGAUCUAAAGCCAUAUUAGCCCUUGACUUAGAGAUGAAAAUGACAAAAAUGUGAAUGUACAAAGAGUGAAAUUUACAGAGAUUCAUGCAGAUUAAAAACUCAUAUUGCUCGCACUUCUGUAAGUUUAGUUUACCAUAGCUUUACCCUUAAAACCUCUAAAUUUCCAUGACUGAAAAGAAAAUUGGAAGUUCUGGUGUCAAUGAAGGUGUCUAGUUAACUACAAAUUUUGGGGGGGUUUUUUUUUUAUUAAGUUGCAUUCUAAGAUCAGAAUUAAUGUCAAGAGAUGGAUUUGCGAAACACCUUUCAUUAGAACUAUUAUACGGAGAUAUUGACAGACCUGAAAGUACGGUUUGAAUGCCCUCUAGAAUAUGUGAUCCUGCAAGCAAAAGCAUCAUAUCUGCUACAUAUCUCACUACCUUUUCUUCUGUGCUAUAGCAGUAGCCCCAUACUUUGCGCAAAAGGAUGAGGCAUGUUGAUGCCAAAACACCUUCCGUCAAAACAACCAAAAGUCCAAUGCAUGCUGCUAAACGAGCUUCAUAUGGCCUACCAGCCCCGAGUUCAUUUGAGACCCUUGUACUGAAGAAGAAGAACCAAAACUUUCCAAACUCAGUGGACAGUUAUUAAGGGGUGUGUGUGGGGGUUGGGAGCAUGGUUCAAAGUUUCGGUCGAGGUCACGGUUGCGGCUCGAACCGUUCCACACUGGUUUCGGCAUAUCGGUCGCGGUCUCAACAAGAUGCAAAUUUUGAAGUAUUUAAUAUUUUAAAAAUUGUAAAUAAUAUAAAACAAUAUGCUAAACAAAAAUAAUAAAAAAUUAGUAAAAGAAAAUCUGUAAAAUGUACUUUUUUUGUUGGAUUUAAAUUGACUCGAGAUGAUUCGGGACGACUCUGUAUGACUCGGCCAUUUCUAUCCUUAUCAGAGACUUCUCGGCCAAGUUUUCGGCAAUCUAUGUAUCUCAGAGUCAUCUCGUCCCGGUAUCGCAACCGAGAGCUCGCUCUGGUGACCACUCGGCCGAUUCUUUGAACCAUGGUUGGGAGGGGCCCCGGGGGGGUAGAGAAUAGUUAAAUCACCUGAUGGCACCACCAAGUCCUAGCGGCAUCACGUAAAUCAUGCUACAUGUGUUAAGGCUGCAAUGCACACCUUUGUAAGUUCAAAAAAGUUGCUUACUCAUUGCUGAUCAAAUUUCAAUGGAAUUUUUAGGGACUAACCUGAUGGAAAGAACUGGUGUUUCUAGCUUUGGAUUUGGAAGAAGACCAGACAGCAAAACCAUCAUUUCAAAUGACCAAAUCUCUAGGCUGUUUCACAGCAUGAUAUGAUUUAUUUGCUAUGGGUAAGAGUUGAAAUUAGGAGGAGAUGUGCAUGCAACAAGGGGAAUAGAGAAUUACCAGGUCAUUAUAGCAGAAGGAAUUGCCAGUGUAAGAAAUUUCCAGAUAUGAUGAAAUGCUUCCUUGGAAAAUCCAGUCCAAGUCAUUUUACAGGAAGGAGAUAACCUAAUAUACAACGCUAACAACAAAACAUUGAUCCAAUACGAAACGGAGCUAGCCAGAGCAGCACCUCUGCUUCCGAGGCCUGAUUUAAAUACGAGAAGCCAACACAUGAGUAAAUGAACUAAUGUUAUAAUUCCAGUAGUAAGCAUCAUAGGAAAGACAUUAUUUUGGGCUUGCAGAAAUCGGAUUUGGCAGUAUAGGAGCGCAACAGCAAAGAUGCCUGGUAUCAGAAAGCGGGCAUACACUUCAGCUUCAAAUGAUAUUUCAGGAUCUUGCCCCACAAACGCAAGAAUACGCCCUGUAUUUGCCCAAAUACAUGUAAGAGGGAUGCAGGUAAGUAAAAGGACGACCAUAGCUCUCUGCAUAUGAAUUCCCAGCAUUCGAUAGUGUUUUGCUCCAUAGGACUGACCGCAGAAUGUGUCCAAUGCACCAGACAUCCCAUUCUGCCCAAAAAAAAGGUAAGCCAUGAUCGCAUAUAAAAUAUGAUUUUGACGUUCAUCAAACACUUAGAUCUGCACAGCAUGAGGCUCAUUUGUCUUCAACUAGCUUUUGUAAAUGUAUUAUGCUUGCAGUUCCUAAGCAUAUCAGUUUUGAGUUUCGUACUUGGCAUCUACCUUUAAAUAUUUCUCCACAACCAUAAAAACAGUUUUUUUUUCGUUGUCAACAAUUGGAUUUGAUGCUGCUAAUAUCGAUGCAUUUUCAAAUUAUCAGAGAUUAAUCAGAUCUCAAAUACCUAAACAACAUGAGAACAUCAGCAAAAAUCAAGUAACAAUUGUUGUCUCAGCAAUACAACAGAGUUAAUUUGGAAAUUAUUCCAAAAAAAUUGUCCUCCUGAAACCGAUUAAGCUUCAGGUGUGAAACUGAACCUCAAACAACUUGAUUACACCGAAUAAAAUGCAAAAAUCAUGGCUGAUUUUACUUGUAGAGCAAGUAUAUUAUCACUUACGAACAAGCUGAAACCAGUUACUGAAGCGAAUGAAGUAGCCAAAGAAGCACCAGAAAGAGCUAGCUCUCCAAGGUGACCAACAAACAUGAGGGCGAUCACCUGCAAAGCAAAUAUCAAGAAGUUGACCAAGAUCAGAGGCCCUGCCAGUGCCAAGAGCUUCUUCACUUCUGCCAAGAAAUCGGAAUGCUUUGUACUGGAUCCCUGCACUCCGGAUGAGACUGGAACAAGUGGGCAUUCCAGUCCAUGGCUUAUGUUUUUCUCAUCCAUAGUUCCCCUUUCUCAACUCUUCUCUCGCAAGGAUCAGAUUGUGAAGAACUCAGCAUUCCCUUUCAGAUUUAUGAAUUGUUUUCAAUGAAAGAGAUCUCAGCACCAUUGUCUGUCUAUGUAAAUUCAUUAAUGCAAUACUAUCAUGCGCCGGAUGUUGUCGCUACUGUUUCCUUUCAAUUUCAAACCUCGGUUACAGGUCGAUUUUCUAAGAUAUCUCAAACACUCGGUAGAAGUUGUUUUCAUAAUGCAACCUCUUCGUCCCUUGACCAAUUUCUUUUAGUACGAGGAUGGUGUAAAUCCCUCCCAAAAUUUCUGCACUGCAUUAGAGUUGUCUGAGUAGGCAUCCCAUGAUUGGUCAGAGAGUCACGACACCAAAAAUGCAUUACUCUUCUAGUUUUGUAUUCUUUGACGUGUCUCCGCAUCUGUCAAAAGAUAUGAAUUCCUCGAAAAUUCUAAGGAUUGGUACAGUGAUUUGUACCAAUCCAUUGGUACAGUGGUUUGAUGUGGUACGGAUGUGGUAGGAGCCAGACACGUUAGGAAAAGCAAAAUUCAAGGUUGUUUUUGGCGUGGGUUAAGGCUACCGGAACUUAAAUGAGUGUCGUGAUGGUGGGUUCCACAUUGAAAUGACCCAAGCCAAUUUAUCAGUCACAUGGGUGAAUAAGACCCAAGACAUUAUUAAUAUUACUAUUGUUUUCUAAUUUAUAUACAAUAGACAUAAUGAAGAAAAUGCAAAGUUAGAUACGUAACUGAAAAGAAAUUAGAAAAAAUAAAUAAUUUAUGUAUGUACAGAACUAGAUAAAUUUUGAUUCAUUUAAUUACAUAAAUUGACAAAAGAGGAGAUAAUUUAAAUAUUUUGGAAGAAAUUUUGGAAUAAUGUAUACAAUUAAUUAAACCGAUCACAGGAAUUAAUAAUUGUAAAGGAGUAAACGAAUGGUUAAUUAAUUAGUUGAGAUGGAACAUUUGUAGGAGAAGUAAUAUGCUGUUUUAUUAUAUGAGAAGUAAUUAAUAUGAUUCUUUUAUUAUAUUUGCGGGUAGAACAUAUAUAAAGAAAUGUUUAAAAAAUGCAUUUGUUAUGGUAUUGGUCCAAAUUAAUGAGAAUGAAUUGAUGACAUAAUAACCGGAGUGCAAAUAGGUGAAAUUUAAUUAGACCAUACUUGUCACUUUUAAAUUUUCAACAUUAUCAUCAUAAUCACCUUAAUUAUACUUUUAUCAUUUGAUUAACAUAUUGUUUAUGUAUUGUCAUCCAAUAGCACAACUAACUUUCAUCGAUAAAUCAACCAUAAACAUUAUAAUUACCAAAUUCAUUAAAAUAAUAUUAAAAAAGCUUUUAAAGAUCAAAGUUUUUUUUUUGUUUAUUAAAACUUUAUACCAAUUUCUUCCGUAUAAAAAGCGAUUGUUUUAAAUUGCACAUGGACUGAGUGUGUCCUUUAUCACUAGUGGUAUUUGAAGUCACCCCUGUCAGUUGUCCUAUUGACUUGACGUGCGGCAGAAUACCAUGUACAAUUGUGUGUCAGUCUAAUACCAAUGAAAUGGUGGAAACUGCCGUGCCAUCUUGAAGAAGCUUCGGUGAAUUCCUCUGUGGUGGAGCCAUCUCCAACUCCCGUGUAGUGAAAAGUUGGGUAGAAAAAUAAAUCAAAUUAUUCGAUAGUUAAAUCGAAUUCGGUUUGAUAAAUUAAAUUGCUUAGAUACUUGAAUCGAACUCGAUUUGAUAAAAGUUUCUUCGAAUUUAGUUCGCUAACUAGUUUAGUUCAAACUCAUUAGUGGAUUAAGUUCCUUAAAGCAUUGGACUAGUACUUGUAGUUAUCAUUAGAAUAAUUAAUGUAAUUAGAAUAAUACGCAACUUAUAGAAAAAGUGUAACUUGUGAUCAAGCCAAUUACAUUGCAGAUAAAAAAAAAAAAAAUCAGAAUUCAAGUUUGGCUAAAUUCCAGUGUCCAGGAAUUUAUAGUUGCUUUUACGUUUUCAAGGAAUAUAAUUAAUCCUGAACUACAUCAAGAAGGCACUAGAAUCUUGAAAACAAUCCAAAAGCUGGAUUUGUGACGGUGAAUCCUCCAUCCAACAUAAGAUUGUGUCCACUCAUGAACCUUGCCUCCUCACUAGCCAGAUAAACAGCAGCAUUGGCUAAAUCUUCAGGCUUCAAGACCAUCCCUUCAAGGUUUGUGUAAACUCGUGAUUGUCCUUCUUCACCAAAAUUGAAGAAGUUCUGGGACAGUGGUGUCAAAACAACAUGAGAAGACAAGCAGUUGACUCUGAUUCCAUGCUUCCCAAGCUCUGCAGCAGCAUUUCUUGUCAAGCCCACGACAGCAUGCUUUGAACUCGAAUAUGAAUGGGAGGUUAUCCCUCCAAUGCUUCCUGAAAUGCUUCCCAGGUUAAUGAUGCUCCCACUUCGCGUUGGGAUCAUCGCCCGGGCUGCAUGUUUGAUGCCGAGGAAAACACCUGAGAGAUUAACCCGCAUCACACGUUCAAAAUCGGAAAGAUCGUUGUCUAGGAUGCUAGUUUUUCCUUCAUCUGCUAUGCCAGCGUUGUUGAUCAUGAUAUCCAGCUUCCCAUGCUCGUGAACGGUCCUGUUAAUUGCAUUUUCAAUAUCUGAUUCCUUGGUUACAUCACAAUAGAGAAAAGAUGCAUUUUCGGCGCCCAAAUCGUCACAUACAGAUCGCCCCAGCUCUUCAUUUAUGUCAACACACACUACUUUAGCCCCAUGAUUGACGAACACUCUUGCCAUACAAGCACCUAUGCCUUGAGCUGCGCCAGUGAUCAGAGCGACCUUACCUUCCAACCUUUAAUAUUUAGGAAAACAAAAGAGAAAAAGAAAAAUGCCGUGUCAGAUCAUUAUCUUUCAAGAAAACGCAGGAGAAGGAAUGAGAAUCGUCAGCACUAGUACCUUUUGCCAACCUGAGCUUCUGAUGAAAGAUUAGCCAUUAAGUGAUGAUAACUCCUUUGUGAACUUGAGCUAGAAAUGAGAGAGAAGUUGGUGUGCGUCUUUGCCAAAACCUAGCCCCAUUUUAUAGCCAAGCAACUUAACUACCAUUAACAAUAAAAUAUACUAAGAGGUUUACUAGAUGCCUUUACUGACCCCAUAUUAACAUUAAAAAUUUUCCUAAUUUGACAUAUUAACAUAGUCAAAUAUACUGCAUAUAUCUCAAUAGGUACGCCUGCUUAACAGUUGCAAUCUUCAUAUAUAGAUUUCACUGUCAGUCUUCACGUUAUGUAAAAGGACAUGUCCUCAACUGGCUCUGCCAUAACUUCCAGUAUUCGGGUUGGUCCCUGCAAUCAUAUUAUACAUUUGAAGGUUGUUGAGCAAUGUCCAUGGAGUUUCCUGGCUGGAAACUAGUUUGACCAAAAACCUUCAUCUCUUGGCAAGAUCCAUAUAAUACACCAAAUUGGAAAGAUCCUCAAACCUGAACCUGUACCCCCUUCUUGUAAAAAGACAAGAAUAUAAAACAAGAAGCACAUAUCUCCUGUUCAGAUGAAUUAUGCACCAUGGCAUUUAGAUAAGAGAACAAUGCGUCCCACUUGGCUGUUGAAGUCAUUAUUGCAUAGUCGCAUGUCUGAAAAUAAAUCCCAUUUCUUCCUGAUGACCUAAUGAAUUAAUUAAGCAGUCAAGAAUUGAGAUGCAAUGCAUCUAUUGGUUUCUACCACUUGGAUAUGUGAAAUUGAUGUCUUUCGUAGCUACCAAGCUUUUGGACUGUUCCAAAUAUAUUAUUGCCAAAUUUUAAUCUUCUAUUCCUCAGUCUUUCGCGAUUACUUCUAUUCAACGUCCAAGUCACCCAUGUUUCUUAUUUACUUCUGGCAGCUAGUUAUGUUCAAAGGAAAGUAAUUUCGCUAAGGAUAUUUCUAUUUUAUUAUAUUUUGUUGUUGAUUAUAAAAUAACUAAAACUUCAUUUUGACAAAUACAUAGAAAUGAACCCGAGGAGUUGGGGCCAGUGGCAAGCGGCUGGUAAUGCGAGCAGGACGACCAAGCUUUGGGUACCGAAACAGAUGGAACGGCCAUAGUUUUCAAAAAGGGGAAAAUAUGUACAAUUGGCUUAACUAUUGAAAAGACAAAAAUAUCCAAACGUGAAAGUUUGCAAGCCAGUUCAGAUGUCGUCGACGCCUUCAAUAAUGGUGUAAAAUGGGAUCACGGGACCUUUUUUUCAGGAGUUCAGAAGUUACUUGAAAAUAGUUGCGUAGUGAUCUAAUCCCAAAAACAAACUCUAUUUCGACUUCAAAGCCAUGAGACCCAAAUUAAAAAUAUCUAAGAUUUUAGAUUUGACAAAUGAAAUCUGAGAAAGAACAAAGGAAAAAAAAAUUUAACCGAGAAAUUUCAAUUUAUGAUUGUUGAAAUAAACUAAUUUACGCAUAACUUUUGAUUUAGAUGCACAAAACGAAUCACACUUUUACCACUAAACUACACCCGCUACAAUGGAAUUACUUUCGCAUAUAGUGACUUAAUUACACAUUUCUUCCUGAAACACUAACCCUCCAGCGUCAAUAAAAUGCUGGAACGUACUCCUCUAUUUAUUUAUUUCUCUUCUUGUUUUCCUAGUGAUUCUUGUCUUUAUUCUUCUAUCGGUAAAUGACUGCCACAGUCCCUCAAAUUUUAAUAAUAAUUCUAUUUGAUCUCUCAAUUUUUAAAAGUGCUUAUUCAGUCUCUCAACUUAUUAAAUUUGGUUUUGAGUCCCCAAACAAAACAUAAAUAGUUUAAUUUUCACAUUACCCCCUCAAGUUUGAUUUAAUAUCUAUUUUUCUAUUCUAAGUUUAAAAAUAAGGCAAAUUAUCCCCUUUAAUAUUUUUGUUCUAACUAUGUAAUGUCCUGAACCAUGUUUCCCUAUCGUUAUAUUAUUUGCCUCAAAAUCAUGGCAGAAACUUUUUUUUUGUUGCAAUAUCGUUUUUACGCAAGUUAAUUGUUGUAGCACUAUAUUCAUGUAAACUAAGUGUACAACAUUCGCCAAAAAAAAAAAGAAGAAGAAGCAAAUUAUGAGUGCAAAAAGCCAAAACGAAGACAGAAAACAAUCCAAAAGCAGGAUUACGUAUCCUAAAGUACAUGAAUAAUUCUAAAGACGAAGUCUGCACUAGAAUCUUGAAAACAAUCCAAAAGCAGGAUUUGUGACAGUGAAUCCUCCAUCUAACAUGAGAUUGUGUCCACUCAUGAACCUUGCCUCAUCACUUGCCAAAUAGACAGCAGCAUUGGCUAAAUCUUCAGGCUUCAAAACCAUCCCUUCAAGGUUUGUGUAAACUCUUGAUUGUCCUUCUUCACCAAAAUUGAAGAAAUUCUGAGACAGUGGUGUCAAAACAACAUGAGAAGACAAGCAGUUGACUCUGAUUCCAUGCUUCCCAAGCUCUGCAGCUGCAUUUCUGGUCAAGCCAACUACGGCAUGCUUCGAACUAGUAUACGCAUGGGAGGUUAUCCCUCCAAUACUUCCUGAAAUGCUUCCCAGGUUUAUGAUGCCCCCACUUCGCGCUGGGAUCAUCACUCGGGCUGCGUGUUUGAUGCCUAAGAAAACACCUGAGAGAUUAACUCGCAUCACACGUUCAAAGUCGCAAAGAUCGUUGUCUAGGAUACUUGGUUUCCUUUCAUCUCCUACUGCAGCAUUGUUGAUCAUGAUAUCCAGCUUUCCAUGCUUGUUAAUGGUAUGAUUAAUUGCAUUUUCUAUAUCAGAUUCUUUGGUUACAUCGCAGUAGAGAAAAGAAGCAUUCUCAGUGCCCAAAUCAUCACAAACAGAUCGCCCCAGCUCUUGAUUGAUAUCAACACAGACUACUUUGGCCCCAUGAUGGACGAAUUCUCUUGCCAUACAAGCACCUAUUCCUUGAGCUGCGCCAGUGAUCAGAGCCACUUUACCUUCCAAUCUUUCAAAAACGAGGAAAAAAAGGAAUGAGGUCAGAUCAUCUUGAAGAAUAUGCAGGAGAAGUAAUGAGAAUUACCAGCAUGAACAAUACCUUUUGGCCACUUGAGCUUUUGAUGAAAGAUCAGCCAUUAUGCAGAUAUUGACUACCCCUUUGUAAACUUUGUGCUAGACAAUGGGAAUGAAGUUUAGAUGUCUUUGCCAAAAUGUAGACCCAUUUUAUAGCCAAGUAAUUGACCUAACUACCGUUGGGAAUUAAAUGUAAAAGGUCUAUUAGAUUAAUUAAGUCAUUAGACGUUUGAUUAUGAUGUAAGGAUACCAUUACGUACCGGGCUCCAAUUUUCAAUUCAAGUGGUACUCAAAAGAAGAUAUAAAUAUGAAUUUAAUAAAAUGCAAUAUAACGCUUUCUGACACAUUGCUGGAAUCGUAGACGUAUUAUAAUCAUAGACUUCUUUGUUGCUUCUACUCAUGUCAGGACACUGGUCUCUUGCCGUCUUGGAUUGAAGAGAUGUAAACUACCAUCAUUCGGACCAUUAGUUUUCUCAAAUCCUAUACUUUGACCGCUAAACUUCCACAAUUUUUUUGACACACUACUAUAUUCAAAAAAAAUAGACAACAUAACGUGCAUGAUAUUAAUAUUGUCACUGAAAGACCUCUUAAAUGAGAUGCUUGUUACCAGUUAAAAAUGUUGUCACUGAUGAUUCAUUUUCUGGUAAUAAGUAGGAAAUGAUACUUGUAAUCUCCUUACAAAUUUCACUGCCAAUAUUUUUAACGUUGGCCAAAAGGACGUGUCCUUGACUUGCCCACCGUGACUAAUAACUCUUCCUUUUUUAUAAUCAAAAAGUUUAGAUGAAUUUUGCUCCGAUCACUAUUAUGAAUUUGAACAAUCUCCCGUUGGAAUCAUAGAUUGCUUGUAGGAGUUCUUACAGAUUACUCGCCAACACAUCUCUAGUAUCAACGGUGAAAUUCAAGUAUACGAUUCGUUUUUACCAACCAAAUUAACCAACUUGAGCCGGGGACUAAUAACUCUUCCACGUGCUAUCAUAUAUUGGAGGGGUUUUCAAACUCUGUCCAAUUUGUGUCCAUAGAAAUUCCCGAACAAGUUCCAUGCCACAUAGUACGCUUAAUUGUAAAGAUUCUCAAACCUUAACCUGUAACUGCUCCUUGUAAAAAGACAAGAGUUUAACAACUAUGAAACACACUUUUCCUGGUUAAAUUGCAUCAACAGGUUGUACGAGUCAUAGUUGUACCGCUUUCGUGUGAAUGUGAUAUAUAUCUAAAAUGAAACUCAUUCUUUCAUAUGGUCUGAUGAGUUAAUUAAACAGCGAACUUGAGAUUCAAUGCAUCGAUUGCGUGUAGAAGCCGUGGCAUUUGAAUGUGAUGCCGAAACUAAUCCAAUCAGAUCAUAUUUUAGGCAUUAGUGGAGAGAUGAAUGUGUUCAAAAGCCAAAAGUAGGUGACUGCAUGCAAGGGUAUUCUAUUGCAACCAAACUAGGUCAUGGCUGGAUACCAAAGAAGUAGCCAGAGUGACGACAAAAGUUAGGCGGUUGAACGGCUAUUAGUCAAAUCAAAUCUAUUAUUAUUUUCAGCGUGUUAAAUGGGAUUCUUUUCUUUUUUUUUCUUUUAAACAUUAAAUGGGAUUCAUCUGUUUACUAAGUUUUGAACACAUUUUUCUAGAAUUAGGAGAAUAACGAUUUUGGAUUCAAUUCCUCCUUUUACCAUCUCGUUUCUUAAAUUUUACCAUUUCUGUACUUUAUACGAAAAAAAAAAAGACAGUAUUAAGAGAAUAUGGGAGUUAGGGGAGGAAGAAAUGAGGAAUGAGAAAUAGGACGAAGGAAUUAAGCUAAUUUAAAACAAAACAUAAAGGAAAUCUGUAAUUUCUCUUUCCAAAUAUUUGAUAAGGAAGGCCCUUCCCAGUUCCCAUAGGAAUACGUUAAUUAUAACUAACCAAAAUUUGUACUUCUUGAACAAUUUGCCCACCAAGUUUUUGACAGAUCUGUAUGCCACAUUGAAUUAUUGAUAGUACUGGAAGUCGAGAAAGCUUCUCUAAUUUCAAUCUAACAUGUUUUUGCCAUAAAGGCAUUGAACAAAUUCAGUCUGUUGUUGAUUUUGCCAAAUGGGCAAGAAUGAGGGCUUGGGCCGGUGACAUCGCAGAUCUAACUCUUAGGAAUAAAUGCUCCUUAUUCAAGCAUUGAAUCAUAUAUACCAGAUUCUAGUUCAACAUCAAGCUUGGAGUAACUAAAGCCUUCGAAUUUAAUAAGCCGGCUUUUGGAGUACGCUCUGGGAUUAAGGUUGGUUGAGUCAGUAAGAGUCAAUGACUUCUUGACAGAAAAAAUUCAGUUGGCUGUUAACAACGAGAAAGAAACAGCCACUGGACACAACAAUUAACUAUGGCUCUUGGCUAUUAUGUCUUUUUAGGAGAUCAUUUUGAAGGAAAAUAUAUAGAAAAGUAAAAUACAUUGCGACUUUAGAAAUGUAGAUAAUUCUAAACUAUCGAUAAUUGUUUUUUUUUGUUUUCCUUUCUAUUGUUAUUCUUUUUUCCUUGUUCCUUAAAUUUAAAUGCAUCAUUUCUCUUAAAACUUAGGUAUGUUCACCAUUAUUUUUUAGACACGUUAUAUAUGUUCAACAAUCUCAUACGUUAAAUAUAUCUAGUAAUUUGAUAGGGUGUAAAAUUGCUAUUUAAUUUAUAAUUAUUUUCCCUUGAUUUUAGUCAAAUAUUGUUUUAAUUGAUGGAUUCUACUUAUAUUUGGUUAAUGGUACUAACUGUAGGAAAAGAAGCGAAACGUGAUUAAAAUGGGCAAUUUUCCAAUUAAUUUGAAGAUGGCACGUCGGGGCCGGUUUUCAAAUCCAAAUCAAACUCAAAUUAGUUUUUGGAGGAAGAUUUUAAAGACUUUAAUUUUCAUUAUUAGUUUUAGUAUUGGAUUAGGAAACUUGGAAUAUUAUCUUUAGUAGUUUUCUUUUUAUAUUUUGGGAAACAUAUCUUACUAUUAUUAGUAGUUGAGAUUAAGUAGGAAACAAGAGGAAUUAGGAAAGCCAGAUUCCUGUUUGAUUAGGAGUCAGCCAGCAACAAUUUCUGAGUAUGACACUUUGAAGCAUAGUUAUUAAACCUGGCCCGGCCCGGCGGUCGGACCGGUCAAACCGGUGGCCCGGUCAUAAAACCGGGCUGGUUUUCUAGUUAGAUCGGAGUUGCAAAGAACCCGCCUUGACCCGUUCGACCCGGACGGUUUAACCAUAGAACCGCUAGAACCGGCGGUUAUUGAUAAACCCACCGGUGGGUUUUGGUAAUUUUUUUGAAGUUACCGUUUUAUCCAAUUUUUUUAUUUAGACCAUUCAUACUACAUGGGCAUUAUCGUCUUUUUAGCCAAAUAAAAGAGAAAAUCAGAAAAAUUAAAGAAUGAAGAGGGAAUCGGGCAUGUGGCCCAAUUGGCCGUCAUUGGGGAUUUAAGCAUUAGGGAUUGCUUUCUUCUUUGUUUCUCUGAGAAGCGAGAACAAAACAAAUGGAGAAUUGUUUCUCUGGGAUUCGGCCAUUGUUUUGUCGGCACUGGCAGUUCGAAGUUUGAGGCAAGCAAUUGGAACUUGGAAGUUCGAAGUUCUUCAAGGAAGUCGCCGCUGCUACUGAAGCUGCCGUUGCCGUUGCCGUUGCUACUGAAGCUGCCGCUGUCGUUGCUACUGAAGUUGCCGCGGCCACCGAAGCUCCAGGUACUCGAAGCUACCACUACCGCUGCUACUGAAGCUGCUGCUACCAUCGAAGCUCAAGGUACUCGAGGCUGCCACCGCCGCUGCCGUUGCCACCGAAGCUGCCGCUUCCAGGAAGCUUUGUUCCUCUCAAUCCUCUUGUGGAGUUUGACGGUCUCUCUCCCUAUUCUCUUAAGGAGUUAAGUCUCUCCGAAUUCUCUGACCGCAGGCAAUAUUUUGUUUCUUCUUUCUUUUUGGAUGAUUAUUUAUUUCUUCUUCCUCUGCAUCGAACUUCAACAUGUGUAGUUACAUAAAUUUCCAGUGCCAUUUAAUACUCUUUGCUUCUGAGAAUUUAAUUUCAACAUGGUUAAAUUCAUUACCUGUAUUUAAUCACUUGCCUCGAACCCGUCAUUGAUAUAUUAGUUCAAAAUGUAGAUAUUGUUGCCAGUGUCUUUUUAAGGUUUCAAAUUGUCAAAUCAAAUUUAGAUUCAUUCACUGAUGAGCUACAAACCUUGGAGCAAUUCUAUGAUGCUUUGUUUAUGUUCAUGACUUUAUGUUUGGUUGUAUUGAAUUGGUCGUUUAUGACUUAUGUUUCAUGGUUUGAUACUUAUAUUUAUGUGUGUGAAAUGAAUUAUGAACUAUGAACAGGUUAUAACUUGUUGAGAUUUAAGAAUGUCUGUACUUAUAUUAUAAUUUACAUGUUUAUUUAAUUAUAUUAUAUAUAUUUUUUAUUAUAUAUUGUGACCCAACGGUUCAACCAGUGACCCACCGGUUGAACCACUGACCCGUCAACCCGGUCCUCUUGCCGGGUUGAUGUCCGGGUUGGUUUUAAUAACUAUGCUUUGAAGUACAACACACGGCCGUCACUCGUUUUGGCUUCUCUUCUGCUGGCCUUUUCGUUAGUUUUAGAGGAAAAACCAUACGCAAUUGUUAUCAAUGGAGUCCUGCGGAUUUCUCUUGAGGAUGCGUAACUAAAUCUUCUUUUUUAGUCAAGGGUUAACUUGAAAACGCGGUUUUAAAUAUCUAUGAGAUCGAAUUAUUUUUAUUUAUUUCUUUUAUUCAUUGGUAUUCAUGCGUUUUCUUGUUUAACUUCUAAUGAUUGUUGUGUUAUUUGAAUGUCAAGGAUCUGAUAUUCGAAUUAAUAUAAUAAUCUACUGCCAAAUUAACCGAUUAAAUCCAUAAUUAUUUAAUUGGUCAAUACCAGUGGCAACUAGCGUGAUUGGUUCUAUGUUAGGAAAAUGUAUGAUCUAAUUUAAACAAACUCUCGUAACGUGUUUAUUAGUUUGAUUUAAAUUUUUCUAAUUUGAUAGGGUGUAAUUUUAUUAUUUAUUUUAUUAUUAAUUUCCCCUAUUACCUGAUCUGAUGUGAAUUAAUUGUAGGAUUCUACUCACUUUUAGUAUUCUGCAUUUAUUUUAGGGAGUAGAGUAAAAAUAUAAUAACUAGUGCCAAUUUAACAGAAAAGGAGUCUAAAUGAUAGGGUUUGUCCCAGAGGCAUUUUGGGAACAAAAGAGACGCAAGCCCUUUUUGGGCAAUUUGGGCCGAAGUCUUCUUUUCUUCUGUGGGCCGCCGCAAUUGAGAUAGAGUGCACGGGAGACGAAAUAGAAAUUGUGCAGAGGAAGGGCACAAUGGGGGGCUUUUUGACCUUUCUUUUGUUUUUGUUUUCUGGGUAGCUUUUGGUCUCCCUGGCAUGUCAGGAAGCAUUUUUUGGUAGCUUUAGCUUUGACUUGUCCUUUUAGCCUUGAGUAGUUUUCUUUUCUCCGUAUGUUAAGAGAAGCAAAAACAAUGGAGUACUUCCAGUAGCUUUUCUUUUCAGUCAGUAUUCCAUCGAAUCGAGUUUACCAUUUCCCAAUUGAUGGCCGCGGUUUCCUCGCCAAUUUCGUAUGGUUUUUUUUCAUCACAUGAACUAACUCUCUCACUCCAGUUAAGGGACAACGGAGGCUUUGAUUCGCCUAAAAAUUAUGAGAUCGAUUUAAUUUUAUCUUUUUCUUUUAUUUAUUGGUAUUCACAUAUUUCUUGAUUAUAGUACUUGUGAUUAUUGAAUUAAUUGGUUGUCUUGGAUUCGGAUAAUUAGUUAAUUUAAUAAUUUAUUGUGAAUUGAGGUAUUAAAUUUGUAAUUGUUUAAUUGCCUCAAAAUAGUGACAACUGGCAUGAUUAAAUUUGUGUCAGGAGAAUAUGCGGAUUAAUCUAAAAUAACCCUGGUAGCGCGUUAUUUGGUUAGAAUAGGGCUCCUCUAAUACGUAAGACAAUUGAAAAAUUAAAUCUUACGGGCGUAUCUAGGAUUAUUUUCUAAUUAGAGCAGUGAUUAAUGGGCGUACCUUGAUCACCGACACAGUAAGGAGGGGUUGACUGUCAUCGCUUGUUUGACAGUUAUAACCUAUUUAUUAAUGAAUAAUCGGAAUUGCCUUUGUUUCAAUGAUCAAUUAGGUGAACCAUUGCUGAAGUUAUUCCUUGACUAGAUCCUUAAUUAUCAUUCAUUUGAUUUUAGUAAAUAGUUAUUUAAUUUCUAGUUGGCUAUUUUAUUUUUAUUAUUUUUCUUUUAGUUGAAUUGCUUAAAUUAUCACCCCUGAUAUAAAAACACCCCCUUGUCACUGUGAAUUUGAAAAGAAACAAUUACUUCCAAUUCAUGUGGAUUUGACCCUACUCACCGCUAUCUACAGAAAUUACUUUUAGUUUGAGCAGAUUUUAUUAUUACACAGGCUGACAACCUGUCAAUUUUUUGCGCCGUUGCCGGGGAACUGGUGUCAGUUAUUUGUUUCUUUUUAAAUUAAUUUUUAUUCCAAUUUUCUGGUGCUUUUCGAGUGUAUGCCUCGUUCUUCUCGUACAGGUGAAUUAAUUUUCGACCCCGAGGUAGAGAAAAUCGUACGCAGAACGAGAAAAGAGACUAGACAGCUUAGAGAAGAGCACUCCGGUGCCGCAUCUCAGAGACCUGAGCUAGAAGUGGAACCAACAGACUCGCUUGGUGAUUCUUCAAGUGAUUCGGAUCGGGAAGAAGUCACUAUGGCUAAUGCCCGAACAUUAAUCUGUCAUAAUUCUUAAUGCAAUCAAUAAACUAAAUCCUACGAUCAUACCUAGGGGUAUAUCUCUUGAUUAGGGAAAUAGUGAACGGUCGUACCUUGACAAUCGAAAAAGUAAGGAAAAAUUGAUUGUUUAUUGCAUGUAUGACAAUUAUAACUAAUCUAUUAAUGAGUAAUUGAAUUAUCUUUACAUCGAUGAUCAGUUGAAUGGACCGUAUCUGAAAAGUUGCACCUUUGACAAGAGUUAUAUCUAUUGUUGAUUCAUUCAUAUUUAUUUUCGUGUGUUACUUUGAUUUAGUUAAUUAUUUAUUUUUAUAUUUUUAUAAAAUCCCCCGUACGUUGAACUCAAAGAGAAACAAAUUUCUUCAAUCUCUGUGGAUUCGAUCUUACUUACCACUAUAUACACAAUUUAUACUUUAUUGAGUAGGUAUUUAUUAUUGUACAGGUUCGACACCUGUCAAUUUUUUGGAGCCGUUGUCCGGGACUGGCAUUGGCUAGUUAGUCUCUUUUUGAGAUUAUUUUAUUUUUAAUUUCUGACAUUUUUCUUGUUUAUGCCUCGCUCUUCUCGUACAGGCAAAUUAUUUUUCGAUUUUGAAGUAGAGAAGACUGCGUAUAAAACAAAGAAGGAGACCAAACAACACAGAGAAUAGCAGUUAGUCACUGUAUUUCAGAGGCACAAUCCAGAAGUCGAACUGACGAAUUCUUUUGAUGACACCUCGAGUGAUUCUAAUCAAGAAGACGUCGAAAAUGGCUAAUACUCAAAUAUUAUGAAAGUUGGCUGCUCCAGACUUAAAUCAGCAGCCACUAUGCAUUACCUUUCCGAAUUUAAAUGAUAAUGCCCCUCUUGAAUUAAAGUCUUGUCUAAUUCAUUUUUUACCCUUUUUAAUGAUUUUUCAGGUGAGGAGCCCUACAAGCACUUGCAAGAAUUUGAUGUAGUAUGCACAAGUACGAAACCCCCGGAAAUUACUGAGGAGUAGAUAAAAAUGGGAGCAUUUCUCUUUUCCCUCAAGAAUGUAGCAAAAAAUUGUUUGUACUAUCUGCCACCAGAUAGUAUAACAACUUGGGAACAGUUAAAGAAGAAAUUUUUGAAAAAAUAUUUUCCUGCGUCUAGAGUUGUCAGUUUGAAGAAGGAAAUAUGUGGCAUUAAAUAGCAAUCGGAGAAGUCUCUCCAUGACUACAGGGAGAGAUUCAAGAAGCUGUAUACUAGAUGCCCCAAUACCAGAUUAUCGAGCACCUCCUGAUUCAAUAUUUCUUUGAAAAUUUGCUAUAUACAAAUAGAAGUCUUAUAGAUGUUACCAGUAGAGGUACUUUGGUGAAUAAGACUCCUAAAAAAACUUGAAAUUUGAUAGAAAUGAUGGCAAAAAAUUCUCAACAAUUUAGCACAAGAGAGGAUGUUCUUACUCGUCUAGUAAAUGAGGUAAAUGUCUCAUCAAUUCAACAAUAAUUAUCUGAAUUAACUUUGGUUAUUUGACAAUUGGCUGUAGAAAAUUUGUACUAGGCCAAAACAUGUGGUAUUUGUAAGGACACGAAUUAUUCUACGAUUGGUGCUUAGUGUUACAAGAUGAAGGAGUUGAACAGGUAAAUAUGACUAGUCACGUGCCCGCACCAAAAGAGCAGAAUGAUCCAUAUUCUAAUACAUAUAACCUAAGUUGGAGGGAUCAUCCAAACUUUAUCUAUGGAGGGAACAGACAAUAGAACUGCAUGCUGAAUAGAUAACAGAGGUACCAACAACAAUACCAAUCUCGACCGCAUCCUUCUUCUUCCAAUUCGAGUCUUUCUUUAGAAGACAUGAUGAAGGAAUUAAUUGCAAACAUUACACGGUUCCUAUAGAAAAUGAAUUCUGACAUGCAGGAGAUACGUAAUCAAAUAAAUCAGAAGGCAAUAUCAAUUAACCAUCUGGAAUCCCAAUCUCAAGAAAAAUUGUCAUUUCAACCUGAAGUCAAUCCGAAGAAUGUAAGUGUAAUAACCUUAAGGAUCUGGAAGGAAGUUGAGGGACAAGAACUCGUGACUUCGAAAGAUAAAAAUGAAGAAUGGAUUGAGAAAGGGCUUGAAAAGGAAGAAAUGAGAAGUAUGAAUUCAAAGAUAAUUCCUGAUUCUAUAAUUAAAGUUAGAACUAACCCACCACCUUUUCCGAACAAGUUAGAGAAACUAAAAACGCAAGGUAAGGAAAACGAGAUCUUGGAGAUAUUUCGAAAGGUGGCAAUCAAUAUCCCUUUGUUAGACGUGAUCAAACAAGUGUCAAAAUACGCUAAAUUCUUGAAGAACUUGUGCAUCAACAAAAAGAAAUUGAGAGGGAAUGAGCAGAUUGUGGUACAUGAGAAUGUCUCAGUGAUUUUACAAAGAAAACUACCGCUUAAAUGCGGGAAUCCAAGUAUGUUUACUAUCCCCUGUAAUAUUGGACAUUUUAAAAUUAAAAAUGCUAUACUAGAUUUAGGAAUUUCUAUUAAUGUGAUGCCUAAAUCAAUUUAUGAUUUCCUAAAUUUAGAACCUUGAAAGAAUUAGGGGCAAUAAUUCAAUUGGCUAAUCGUAUAUUUGCUUAUCCAUAUGAGAUAAUUGAGAAUGUUUUAAUUCAAGUAGAUAGACUAAUUUUUCCUGCUAAUUUUUAUGUAAUUUACAUGGAUGAUAGAAAUGCUCCAAUUCCAACACCUAUUAUAUUAGGAAGGCUCUUCUUGGGUACUACCCAAACUAAGAUUGAUGUUAGCAAGGGUAUUCUUACAAUGGAAUUUAAUGGAGAAUUAGUCCAUUUUAAUAUUUUUGAUAUAAUGAAAUAUCUUGUUAACUCUUAUUCUAUGUUUGUCAUUCAUGCUAUUGAUCCCUUUGUAUGAGAAUUUCCUAAAUUUAAUUGCAGGGUAAGUUGAAAGUUGCUGCGAACAAACAUCAGAAGUUGAAAGUAACUUAUGAUGAAAAAAUGGGCAAAAAGUUAAAGAAGGUGGUUGCCCGUAAUGAUGAUCUGAAUCUUGAAAAGAUGUCACAAAUUGCAAGAAAUCUCGAAUUACAAUCGGAUUGAGAAGUGAUACUCCAUGUCUAACCAAAGAUAUUAAAAAAGGCGCUGAUUGGGAGGCAACCCAAUUCAUUUUUUUAUGUGUUUCAAUAUGUUUUUUUUGUAGAUUUUUCACAUUUGGUGGUUUAAUUUUUCGUUAUUAAUAAUUAGCAGACUUCCUCUUGAUAGGACACAUUCGCGCCUAGAGGACAAGUGGUAAUACGAUAAUUUUCCAUUCCAUCGUCAGAAGCAUUUGGACUAACAUGACGUGCCCACGCUUAUUUGCUUGGAGAGCUCAUAUUUCGAUUUUGGAGUAAACUUAGCAACAUGAUGCGCCCGCGCCUAGAGAGCACGUGGUAACUAGUAAUGCACAACAUCUUAUCCUAGGGAAACCAUAAAUAUUAUUUUCCUUUUUCUUUUCUAUUUCCUUUUUCUUUCUUUCUUUUUCUUUUUCUUUUUCUUUCUCUUUUCUUUCUUUCUUUCUUUCUUUCUCUCAUUUUUCUUUCUUUCCCCCCUAUUUCUUUCAUAGCCACCCGACUUUAAAACCCUGGUUGCCACCACUCAUUUCCGCUGUCCAUUGCUGGUUCAUCGUUUAUCGCGGAUUGCUCCCACCAUUCACAGGCCACCACCGCCAUCCAUUCCUUGUCAGUCGUUCGCUGUCACUUCACGCUGCCCUUUCCAUUCGUAGCUGUCCAUGACCCUUCUCAAUUAUCAGGAAAAUUGUGUUGUCCCUUUUACUUUCUAUUCUAUUUUUUACCUCUUACAUUGAGAACAAUGUAAGAUUUAGGUGUGGGGGGAAGGAAGUAGUAUAUUGGUAGUAUAAUAGAAAAAUGCAAGUGUAAGUAUUUUUUUUGAAAUUUUUUGUUCGAAUUUGUCGAAUUUUAUCCAAUUUUUGCCACUUCUUGUACAUUUUUGUGGUUAUUCUUGAUAAGCAAUGGUUAGUUGUCUCAAAUUUAUAUGCUAAUGUGUCAAAUAUGAUGUGGUGAAAUCUGCAGGUGUCUCUAUGGUGAAUAUUUGUGAUUUUGUGACUUUUACAAUUUUUGAUUAAGUUUUCUAAGCAUUGUAUUUGCCUGACAUUUUUUCAUGUAAAUUGGUUCACCUAUCAAUCUUAGUUCUCCAUAUUUGAAAACUAAAAUAAGCUUGUGUGGUCUUUAAUUUUAUUUUGGGUACUUAUUUGUGAAUAAUGUUUAGUUAUAUUCCAUUAAUAUCGUUGCCUAGUAACCGAGAGUUUUUACCACAAGUGUUGACUUUCACAUUAAAAAGUGACAAUAACUAUGAGUAUGUGAUUUUUAAGCGAUGAUGGCUGAGUAACCAAGAUCCUUCAUUUUGUAGAUGUCGGAGUUCACAUCAAAAGGCUUGAAUGGUUAAGGACUAAACUUUUUUCCGAAACAAAAAGAAAAAAAUGAGAGUUUAAGUAUGGGGAUAUUUUUUAAAAAAAAGAUGAGCUAAUAGUGAAAAAUAUGCAAGUGUGUGAAUAAUUGUUUUAGCCUGCUGAUCCAUGAGCUUAAUGUUGAAAUUUUGCUUAAUAGUUGAACUAUUUGCUGGCGAAUUUUGAUUGAAUAUUUUAUAUCCUUAGAUUGGUUAGCCCGAAAUUAGAAGAGUUCUUAGUUUUAAAAGUUAAUCAGAGAGAUAUCUCUUAGAAACUAAUCACUAAUAUUUGACAUGUGUUUUAAAUGUAUUUCGACAAUGGAUGAUUUGAAUGAUAAUCAUUAUUUGAACUUGAUUGUUUCAAUUGUUGUUUCUCGUACUUGAGAACAAACAUGGUCUAAGUGUGGGGGGAAUUGAUAGUGUGUAAAAUUACUAUUUAAUUUAUGAUUAUUUUUCCCUUGAUUUUAGUCAAAUAUUAUUUUAAUUAAUGGAUUCUACUUAUAUUUGGUUAAUACUGCUAAUUAUAAGAAAAUGAGUAAAACGUGAUUAAAAGGGACAAUUUUUCAGUUAAUUUGAUGGUGGCACGUUCGGAUUCGGUUUUCAAGUCCAAAUCAAACUUAUGGCAGUUUUUAGAGGAAGAUUUUAAGGACUUUAAUUUUCAUUAUUAGUCUUAGUAUUGGAUUAGGAAACUUGGAAUAUUAUCUUUAAUAGUUUCCUUUUUAUAUUUUGGGGAACAUAUCUUAUUAUUAGUAGUUGAGAUUAAGUAGAAAACAAGAGGAAUUAGGAAAGCCGGAUUCCUAUUUGAUUAGGAAUCGGCCAGCAACAAUUUCGAAUGUGACUCUUUGAAGUACAAUACACGGCCGUCACUUGUUUUGGCUCCUCUUCUGCUGGCCUUUUCGUUAGUUUUAGAGGAAAAAUCAUACGCAAUUGUUAUCAAUUGAGUGCUGUGGAUUUCCCUUAAGGAUGUGUAGCUAAAUUUUCUUUUCUAAUCAAGAAUUAACUUGAAGAUGUGGUUCCAAACAUCUGUGAAAUCGAAUUAUUUUUAGUUAUUUAUUUUAUUCAUUGGUAUUCGUGCAUUUUCUGAUUUAAAUUAUUAUGAUUAUUUUGUUAUUUGAAUGUCAAGGAACCAAUAUUCGAAUUAAUCUAAUAAUCUACUGCCAAAUUAAUUGUUUAAUUGGUCAAUACCAGUAGCGACUAGCGUGAUUUGUUUCAUGUUAGGAAAACAUAUAAUUUAAUUUAAACAAACCCUCGUAGCGUAUUUGUUAGUUAAGAUUGGGUUUUUCUAAUUCUUAAUGUAAUCGAAAAAUUAAAUCCUACGAUCAUACCGAGAGUUAUCUUUUGAUUAGAGAAAUAGUUAACGGUCGUACCUUGACUAUCGAAAAAAGUAAGAAAAAAUUGGUUGUUUAUCGCGUGUAUAACAAUUAUAACCAAUCUAUUAAUGAAUAAUUGAAUUAUCUUUGCAUUGAUGAUCAGUUGAAUGGACCCUGUUUAAAAAGUUGCACCUUUGACUAGAGUCGUAUCUAUUAUUGAUUCAUUCAUAUAUAUUUUCGUGCAUUGCUUUAAUUUAGUUAAUUAUUUAUUUUAUAUUUUUAUAAAAUCCCCCAUAUGUUGAACUCAAGGAGAAACAAAUUUUCUCAAUUCCUGUGGAUUCGACUUUACUUAACACUGUUUACAAAAUUUAUAUUUUAUUUGAAUAGAUAUUUUUUAUUGUACAAACUCGACACAUGUCAUAAUUGUACGUGUCUACCAAGUUUUAGAUGAAACCUUUCUGUAAGACUGUAACUUGGUAGAAAUCAUUUCUUCAAAUUCCCCAAAAUUAACUAUUCUUGUAAGAACCAAAUAUAAAUCUUGCAAUUCACAUUCAGCCCAAUAGCAACUUUUUCCACUGAUUCUGAUACUCAAUUUUGAAUUUUCACCAUCACAUUUCAUGGAAAAAUUUUUAAAACACAGUCUUCCAAAUAUUUUUCCUAACAUAUACCCAUAAUAAACAAAGUGGUACACUUUAAUAUGUAUAUGUGUAUAUAUAUAUAUAUAUAUAUUAAAAUUGGGUAUCGUUGAGGAGGGGAGCUCCCGCCAAAGUUUAGAAUGGUGCGGACCAGUGAAUUAUUGCAACUGUAAAUAACGAUUUGCAUCAACAAUUCUACACCGAAAUCACCUCAACCAAAUGAUCUGCCGAGCCAUUGCAGCGGCAGCCGCACCUCAACGCGACCGAAACUUCUUCUUAAGCCUACUCAAAAGCACCACAAAUCUCUCUCAGCUCAACCAAACCCACGCCCAGGUGAUUCUCAACGGCCUGAGCAAAGACCUCAUAGCCAUCACCAAGCUAACCCACAAACUCUUCGACGUCAAAGCCAUAUCCCAGGCCAAGCUUCUCUUCACCUCACUCUCCAACCAAAUCCCGCCUGAUAAGUUUCUCUACAAUGUGCUUAUCAGAGGCUUCUCCCAGAACAAAUCCCCGCUUGAUUCUCUGUCUGUUUAUGCUCAUCUUCGCGAAAAAACCACCCUUAGACCGGAUAAUUUUACGUAUGCUUUCGUUGUUUCGGCUGUUUCUUCACCCGAACUCGAAAAAGUUGGGAUUUUGCUUCAUGGGCACGUGAUAGUUUCUGGGUUUAGCUCGGACCCCUUUGUGGGUUCUGCUUUGGUGGAUAUGUAUAUGGGCUUCUCGGAAGUUAGAUGCGCGUAUAAGGUGUUUGAAGGAAUUCCUGAGAGGGAUACUGUCCUUUGGAACACUCUGGCUUCUGGGUUGGUGAGGAAUUGCUUUUUUUAUGAGGCGGUUUGUACUUUUCGCGAUAUGGUUGUGGAGGGAACUGAGUUUGAUUCAACUACAUUGGCUGUGGUCCUUACAGCUACUGCUGAGCUGCAGGAGUUGAGAACUGGAAUGAUGAUUCAGGCUCUGGCACUGAAGGUUAGGUGUCAUUUUCAUGAUUAUGUUCUUACGGGAUUAGUUUCUUUUUACUCAAAGUGUGGAGAUGUUUCAACUUCUAGAUUGUUGUUUGGACUCUUAAAGAAGCCAGAUUUGAUAGCAUAUAAUGCCAUGAUUUCUGGGUUUACAGGUAAUAACGAGACUGAAUCUGCCGUAAGGCUUUUCAAAAAACUGCUCGUUUUGGGUGAAAAGGUUAAUUCGAGUACCAUUGUUGGAUUGAUUCCUGUGUCUAUUCCAUUUGGUCAUUUGGAGCUUGCGCAGACAAUCCAUGGGUUCUGUGUAAAGUCUAAUAUGGUUUUUAAUUCUUCUGUUUCAACUGCGCUGCUAACUAUUUAUACGAGGCUCAAUGAGAUGGACUGCGCACGACGACUUUUUGAUGAGUCCCCUGAUAGAAGUUUGGCAUCCUGGAAUGCAAUGAUCUCUGGUUAUGCACAGAAUGGAUUAACGGAAAUGGCUAUAGCUCUUUUCCAAGAAAUGCAGAUGCUUGACAUUCAUCCCAAUCCAGUUACAAUCACCAGCAUUCUUUCAGCAUGUGCUCAACUGGGAGCUCCAAGUCUGGGAAAAUGGGUCCAUGAUCUGAUAAAGAAGGAGAAUUUUGAGUCUAACAUCUAUGUUUCAACUGCUCUGGUUGAUAUGUACGCAAAGUCUGGAAGCAUUGAAGAGGCUCGGAGGUUGUUCAAUGCCAUGACUGAGAAGAAUGAUGUGACCUGGAAUGCAAUGAUUUCUGGAUAUGGACUUCAUGGUCAUGGGCAUCAAGCAAUAUCACUAUUUCAUGAGAUGUUAGAUUCUGGAGUCACACCAACAGGAAUUAGUUUCCUUUCAGUUUUGUAUGCCUGCAGUCAUGCCGGCUUGGUAGAAGAAGGCAAAAAAAUUUUCGAAUCUAUGGUCCAUGAUCAUGGUUUUACGCCCUCAGCUGAGCAUUAUGCCUGUAUGGUUGACCUCCUUGGCCGAGCUGGAAAAUUACAGUAUGCUUUGGAAUUUAUAAAUCAGAUGCCUAUUCAUCCAGGUCCUGCUGAGUGGGGUGCACUAUUAGGUGCUUGCAUGAUUCACAAGGACAGUAACCUUGCUCGCUUUGCUUCUGAUAAGUUGUUUGCAUUGGAUCCUGAAAGCAUAGGAUACUAUGUUUUACUCUCGAAUCUGCACUCAGUUGACCGUAAUUAUCCUCAAGCUGAAUCGGUGAGGCAAGUGAUUAAGAAAAGGAAUCUUGCAAAGACCCCUGGCUGUACUUUGAUUGAGGUGAAUGGGCAUCCAUAUGUUUUUAAGUCUAGUGACCGGUCUCAUCCACAGACAGCUGCAAUUUAUGCCAUGCUGGAAAAGUUAAUGGGAAAGAUGAUAGAAGCAGGAUUUCAGACGGACACUGUUAUAGCUUUGCAUGAUGUAGAGGAUGAAGAGAAGGAACUGAUGGUGAAGGUCCACAGUGAGAAGUUGGCUAUUGCUUUUGGACUCAUAACAUCUCAACCAGGAGCAGAGAUCAGGAUUAUCAAGAACCUCAGGGUCUGUUUAGACUGCCACAAUUUCACAAAAUUUGUAUCGAAAAUCACUGAAAGACUCAUUGUUGUUAGGGAUGCUAACCGAUUUCAUCAUUUUAAUGAUGGUCUCUGUUCAUGUGGUGAUUAUUGGUAAAUCACCUCCUAUUUGCCCACAAAGAUUGAAAGGUUGGCACAUGGGAGGUUGUUUUACAGAAGUGCUAAAUCAGGAGUGCGUCAUCCUCCAGUGCUUAUUUUCAGAUGUACAUAGUGAGUAAAUCUUUUCUUCUUGUUGUUGGCAUCAUGCAUUUUUUUUUUUUAAAAGAAAAUCCACUAAUAUUGUGUAGAAUAACAUGAUGAUUAUCUGAUCACCUUAUUCACUUGAAGCUUCGGGAUGGAACAAUUGUUUCAUGUUCACUUUCCUGUACACAACAGUUGAGUGAAAGUCUUAAUCAGACUUUAAAACUCUGAUGGUGUUAUUUCUUAGUUCUCUUAAGAAUUAAUCUGUUUUGGACUCUGGUUUCAGAGGAAGCAUCUAGCAAUUUUUGCAAGAACAUGAAGAAGGCUCGCAAUAGAAAAGGAAAAGUACUUCUCUCAGGAACAAUGCUUAUCAUGUACAUCUUAACUCACAUUAACGUAGUGCUGUUGGUUCAAGAUGAGUAGAUGUUCGAUUUUGAAUGAAUUAAAGGUGGAAGAUUAUUUAUGUUAGCUGCUAUCCUGGCAUUUGGGUCUUAUGCAUCUGUCGUGUUGGAAGUUUUAUCUCUAGAGGAAUUUUCUUUGAUUUGUUCCGGAUAGAUAUCUUCUUUUCAUAAAAUUUUGAUGUCUUUGCUGAAAAACUUCCCAAUUGUUCUUUAGGCAAAGAUCUCUUUUCUCAUGAAUAUGAGCUAAAUCACAGAAUUAGUACCUGAUAUUUCUUUAGGGCAAUGAUCCCAAUUAUGUAUUUGCUUAUUAUACAUGCUUGUCAUUUUCCUUGAAAAACAUUCAAAGAGUUUCUGAAUAUCAUCACGCCUUCUUUGCUCACAGGACUUGUUAAAGUAAGUUUCAUUUUCAAGGUCAGAGGAAAUAGAAGAAACAAAGCAAAGGGGAAAAUGGGAAACACGUUGAUCUCCAAGCUGCAAACUUUUUUAAUAGAAAACUUCUUAAGCACGCCUAUGUUUGUCAUAUACAAAAUUGAGUAUCAUUCUUUUGCUAAACAAAAAUUUCACAGGUGACUUAUUCUUUCUUUUGUAAUUCCUCUUUGCUUGGUCAUACAUUACACCUUCAACAGCAGACUGUAUACGCAUCUGUCCACAGAAUGCAGCAUUCACUUGAAAAUUGAGAUUGUUUCAGCAAUUGAUGCCACAUUGUUUUACGUCAGGACCCUUGGUUUUCAGUAUAAACGGGUCAAUUCGGACCCAGAGCAAGGAAAAUAUAGAAGCCAAAAGUACCGACCAGAUGAUGACAAUUGUGGGCGUCCUAUUCUGCUUACCCAUGAGACCUUUAAGGAAUGGAUAGAGAUGGACAAUCACCCAGAAGGCAAAGAAGAGCUUUCCAAAUAAAGGACCCCAUGAUUGAGAUCCAUUGUUUAUGGCAUCGGAGAUCCCAGCAACAACACCAACUAGGUUGAUUACUAGAAUAGUGGUUGGUGGGAUGAGCAGGGUAGUCCAUUUGAAGGCAUAUAACUCAGCAAAGUCAUCGUCAUCUGAUGCCUUAGAUGUGACAGUGAAGUUGGUGUCAAUCCCAGCCAAAACCUUUAGAAGACCUUGUAUGACAGCAAACAGGUGAGCAGAGAUACCACCAAUAACCCAAAAUUGCUCAUUUCUCCACCACUCCUCAAUGCUAACUCCACUCCACCUUAGCUCAAGGAUGCCAGUAGUGAAAAUUGAGAGGAAGAGCGCAAUGAAGAAUAGACUUGCAAAGGUGCUUAUCUGAAUCAAGGAGAACGAAGACAUAUUUGCAGCAGUCAGAAGGAAGCAUAUAGACUUUGUAAAAUGAAAAUCAUUUGGGAGCUCUAGUUCUGUCAUCUGCCUGCAGUUAAUAAAUUUUAUCAGCAGAGAUAAGGAUCAUGACGUUAUUACCUCUGGCAUUAUGAACUUUCCUGUCAGUAAGCAGAUUGCGGGGAGAGUGCAGUAAGCAAGCAGAGGUAAAGAGGUGAAGGGGUAGACAGUUGUGUUAACAUAUGCAAAUCGCUCAAGCCACUUUAGGUUUCCUCCUUUAUAGCCGUACCAGGCAGGGCUAUGUCGACUGAAAAAGAUCUCAACAGAACCAAGAGCCCAGCGAAGCACCUGGUUGAGACGAUCUGAUAGGUUGAUCGGAGCAGAGCCCUUAAAUGCAGCUAGUUUUGGCAUACAGUAAACUGACCUCCAACCACGACAAUGCAUCUUGAACCCUGUUAGGAUAUCUUCUGUGAUAGAGCCAUAAAUCCAACCCAACUGCAUGUUGCAAAGCCCUUGUACUUAAUAUAUGUGUGGUAAAAGCAAGACGCAUCAAUGAAAAUCAAAUGGCUAUGUUCUAGAUGGUUGGCUACACAUGGCACCACAUCCACAUGGAAGGUUAAUGUAGCAAUGAGGGUUUUGCAAAGAUUUAUAAAUUGCAUGAUUUACUAGAAAUUCAUUGAUGUGAGUUCAUGCAUCAAUUAGUUAACGAGUACGAACUUUUGGGUUACAGAUGUGGUUAGCUUUGGCUGUGUUAAGCCAUUACCUCAGUACCCCAUUCUGUUUUGUCUUCGUAGCCGCAGCUGAUCACAUGGAUAGCUUCUUUGAGCAGCGCAGCUGGGCUGGAUGAAGGUGGAACGCCACCUUCAAUCAUUAAAGUUGAAGUCACAAAAAUUGCUGACUGUCCGAACUUCUUUUCGAAAUUCAUUUGAGACAUCAGUAUCUCUUUAUCGUCAUCAAAUCCUGAGGAACAAACAUAAUAAUAAUUUAUGAAUUCAGAUGAAACUUAAAUUAGAAAUAUAUUCUUCAAUCCAGCAGUUAGAUGAGAGGCAAAGAAUGUCAAGCACCUUGAACUGCACUGUCUCCAUUGACGCCAUGUUUAGUGUAUUGGGGAAGCUUCUUACGCCGCCCAAAACAGGGGCAACAGUCACAGCUCACCAUUUUUGGGCGCUUAGAACGCUUUGGUGGUUCAUAGCCAUAUAAAGCCUGCCUUCGGAAGACACAUCCUGUGCCAACAUAGACAGGACCUUGGAUUCCAUCAAGCCCUUUCAUGUUAAUCUGCCGAGAAGAAACAUAUGUACAUCAAGAAGGAAACAGGCAUGAGGAACAAAUGCAUGUGUUGGAGGUUGUCUUGUUUGUACCCUAUAUAUCGUAGAAGCUGAAGCUAUGAACUUUUCUCAUGACUUGCCAAAAAUGAUAAUGUGUUAAAAUUAUGGUUUUGCUGGGACUUACAUCAAAAAAGACCGUGUUUCUGUUGGCAUAUCUGUCAUGUCUAUCUAUUCCAUCAAAUCUCUGUGGGAAUUGCACAUAGCAAACCUUCUUUCCAAGUUGUGGAUCCAUCAAGAAGCACAUUGCUUCCCUGACAGCCUUGCUGUUGUUUACGUAGUGGUCACAAUCCAGGUUCAGCAUGAAUGGAGCAUUUGUAAGAACACCAGAGACACGGACCUGUAAAGUUUUUCUCAAGUGAGACAUUUCUGAACAUAAUGGCUGAAUGUGAGAUUUUUAUUUUUUGUAAAUUUAAAUGGUCAAAUUAUCUUCAAACAAGAAUGCAUUGGACAAAGACAAAUAUUGGUGGAGAGAAGAAGAUGCAGGAUGGUUGUAUUUAGUUAUGUGCAAGGUCAUUGAUGAUCUUUGUGAUCUUUACCAGGGCGUUCUCGGCACCAGCUUUUUUGUGAUGCUGGAAACCAGGCCUUUUCUCACGGGAAACAUAAACAAGCCGAGGAAGUUCAUUUCCUUCAACGUCGGGGCCGCCGCUAUGACCUAGAAAGACUUGAAUCAUACCAGGAUGAUCCUUAGUAUUGUUUCCUGGCCAUGGUGUUCCAUCUUGCAUGAUCCACCCCUCUGGAGGAACUUUCAUAGCCUUAGCCACCAUAGCAUUGAUUCUAACCUUAAAUUCUUCAUACUCUCUCUGUCAUAAAACAGUACAACAUGUUAAGUUCAAAAUACAUAACCUCUUGUUUUCGUCUCUUCUUUUAAACCUCUUUUAAGUGUUUAAAAUUAUACCUUCAUGGCUCUUCGCUCCUUCACAAAGGUCGGCUGCACUUUAUCCUUCAGAUAAUCAAUCUUCAGCGAGAAGUACAUCUCAGGUGCUCGAGGCUCUAUAGAGAAUUUCUUGCAGAAGGGAACCCAUUUUCGAGCAAAUUCUGCAGUUUCUGAUAGUGAUUCAAAGGUACACAUUGAAGCUCCAUCAUCAGAUACAUAGCAUGAGAUUUUCUCAACGGGAUAGUCCAUUGAUAAAAUUGAGAGAACUGUAUUAGCGGUAACAAGAGGAGGUUCCUUCAUUGGAUCCACGGUACUGACAAAGACAUCAAUGGGGGCAAGCAUAUUAGGUUCACCUUCCCUCUCGUACCUGCAUUAGAAAUUGACCAACAUUAUAGCUUCAAACAGUGAAAAAUUUGUAUCUGUUGCAGCAUUCCUGUCUUCUUGAAUAUUUCGAAAGAAACGCUGUGAGGUUUAGAGGGAUUAUUGCUCUGAUCCAAAUUAAAGGUAUAAUUAUUCAGAUUUUCUAUGGGUCUGUAAAACUAUAAAUUUCACUUAAUCGUCUCCUUUACUACGGAGACAUUUUGUUGAACAGGAAUAUUGAUAUUGUGAAUCAUAUAUAAUUAUGUAUUGGUUUUGACAGAUUUAAGUCGAUUCAUUACAGCUGUUUUUCUUUCACAUUAUUACGACUAUGGGGUAAUCUCUCCCCAAGAUUCACAAUAUUUUCUUACCAAAGGUGAUUGUGCCAACUUCUUUAAACAUCUCCUGUUUUCGUGGUCUCUGAUGUCAGUUGCUUCGCUACAGGGUUCUAGAAAAUCCUUACCAGCAUAAGCACAAACUUAAGGAACCAAUGCUGUACGAGUUUAGUUUUUGAAAACCAAAUUUUCUCUUUGCUCCUACAAUUUCACUCUUUUUCUGAGCUCUAGUUACUGAAGAAAUUUAAUCUGGAGCUCUGAUUCCUUUUUAGGACUUUAUAUUACAACUGAUUAAAGUUUAUUCUAAAGCAUUUAAAUGAGAUCAGAACUGAAAAAUGUAAAAUUUCUGACUGCUAAUAUUAUGUACAUAAUUAUGUCAACCUGAGAGAAAGGCGAUCCAGGUAAGUCUCCCGAUCGAUUGGAAACCACUUGGGAAACUGAUCGAGAAUCCAUGAGAACGCAAACCAGAUCUCACAUACAAUUGAAGUGAGCCAGAGGCCAAGUGCAUCAUGCACAGGGUUCAGGAUUCUAUAUCGGAGGAAGAUUGCCAGAACCACGAGCCUAGCCACAAUCACCAUCCGGUAAGGAUUUACCAAGCUUGAUGCGAUUGGUACUUUCCUUGACAGUGGCUGUCUCGAUUCAUCUACCCUGCAUUUUUGUAAAAAUAUUUAAACAUGAGCAAAGACAUCCUUCGCCAGCAACUGGAACAGUUUACACUUUUUGAAAAAUCUAUGCAAUGCUUCCUGUCAUGCAAACUACAUUGAAUACAAUUAGAUCUGGAAAAUUGAUGUUGUUCAUCUAAGAAUAACAAUAAAAAUGUGUGCUUGAUUCAAAGGACUCCGGUGUGGUAGUUGGCUUUUAGACCAUAGCCACAAUUACUGCAUUUCAAGUUUAAUAUAACCUUUCCCCUUGUAAGACAAAGGAAAAUGGCUAUUGCGCUUUUCUUGGUCAGAGAUUCAUAAGAAACUACGUUAAGAUGAAGUUGGAUACAUACAUAGCCAUGUCAGCGUCUGCAGCAUGAUCAGCUUCUGGCCCUAUAUUUCCUUGCUGCAUCUUCCAAUCUUCCAUUCUUUCUUUCCAACCUCCCUCUUUCUUGUCAUCCCAUCUUGCACUUCCUGUAUUUUCAUCUCAUUGAUACAAUGUCAAUAAUAAGAUUAAGGUACAUACAUCAGUUCGAGAGAAUCAUAUGGGCCGCAUGUGGAGUAUACCAGGCUCAGAAGCUGGAUAUGGGUGCACACGUUUGUGUAGGGAGGAGCCGAACAUCUGCUCUCCGUUAGCAUGAGUCGAUAUAGGAAUUUCACCACUCACCUGCAUGCAUAACUACAUGUCAGUUUUUUUUUUUUUUUUUCCAAAUCACCACAGCAAGUUUUUACUAAACCAUGCUAGUACUUUAAGCCAAUUCGUUCUACCAGAUAUCAUGAAUGUACACUGUAAAUUGGUACAACUACUUCAUGCAUGAUACGCAAGCUCUGAUAAAGUAGUAUGUUUUUCUCUUACAGGCCGAGAGCGGAAACCAGCAAUGACAGGAGGGUAUUGGGCAGCUUCUUCGUCUUCUGGUCCUCGUCCAUAACUCAUCUUUCCAUGUAGCAUUGCUUCAGCAAUUUUAGUAUUUUUGUUUCGUUCAUCAUCAAUUUUAAAUUCAUGUUCAAUGUCAUCGAUAUCUUCCUCAUCAUCAUCGCCCUCCACCCUUGGACACCCUUCAAGAAAGAAGAUCAAAAUAAAAGUCAGAGAAAGGUCAAAUUAAUCCUGAAUAGAUUUCAUCUCAAGAGAGUGGCAAAGUUGAAGCAUUAGGAUGUGUUAAUGCUAUUGUUGCAUAGGGUUUGAGUUUUCUUUGAGGACAAGUCUAUAUUCCUUUACCUUUGAGUCGUUUGUAUCUUGUUUUGCACUGAGGGCAAAGUUGAGUGCCUUCUCUCCUCUCAUACUCAUAGCAUGGCCGGCAGACUGGAAAACCACACUCAUUACAAGCCACGAACAAGUCUCCAUCGACUGUGAGGCCAAUCUCAUCACCACAUAUCUCACAAACUUGACCGGUUAAAUCUUUCAAGGGCUUAGGCUGCAAUGAACAUGAUAAAAACCAACGAAAACUUAGUUACACAGCAUACUUAAUCACACUAAGCAAAAUUAAUGCUUAGACUUUACAAUUCCAAUCGCUCUGUGUAUCUACCUCUUCAUGGCCAUGAAUGACAACAAGCUCGUUCCGGUUGUGAGAACCAGCGACAAGUCCUGCGCUGGCUUCCAUGGUGGAGAUGAGGGUGCAAUGAAGGAGGGCGUGGGGGUGGUGGUGGUAAAAAUGUUUGUCUAGCUAGGAACAGGACUAAGGGUGGUAUGAAGAGGAGUUCUUUUUAAGGUACGAGGAAGGCAUCGUUUUGUAUCUGUCUUAACAUCUCUCUCUCUCUCUCUCUCUAUCUUUCGCACCUAUUAGGUGUCCACAUUAAGAGGACGCUGUUGGUUGCAGAGUCUCCAUUGCCUUGAAGCAAAGCUUCGUCUAUUCAACCACCAUGUACAUUCUCUUUCCUGGCUUUUCUUGACACACUUUUUUUUAUUUAUUUAUGUUUAUUUCCGGGGUUGAAAUGGUCUUGUUGGGGAAAAUUUUGAUGUUACAUUUGUUGGCUACUUGUCUUCUUACCAAACUGGAUUCAAUUUCCGAAUUAUUUACCAUUGAUUCAGCAAUCUUGAUCCUGAAGUGGACGUUGCAUAAGCAGAAUUCACACGUUAUUAUCUCUGGUAUUCACUCCGGGUAAUUACAAGUAUAAUAACGUAAACAUAGAAUUGCCUGAGCAUUUGCAAAUCGGAUGUUGUUCAUAGCAUUCAUGAUCCUUUAAACAUUAGUCGUCUCUUCAAAUAUGAUUAGCAAGAUAAUUAUGGAUGUCAAGAAUAAUUAGGAGCAGCAUUUCAAGUUUUUUUAACUGAAAAGUCAAAAUUAAGUAAUGUAAAUACAUGUAAAUGUUGAAAAAAAAUAACCACUGCAUUAUCUGAAGAAGUUGAGGGAGGGGCAAAUUAAUUUGUAGAGCCAAGUCCAUCUUUCAAGCCUUUUUAGUUUGGCCAUUACUUCAUAGUAGGUAUAGUGAAAUCAUGCUGAAUUGCUAUGCCUGCACAAAAGAUCCCUUACCAAAUUUCUUAGUGAUUGAGAGCUUUCACGUGCCACAGUAGCUAAUUGUUCAUAUAAUCCAUUGCCCCCUCUAUGAAUCUUGUUGCCGAAUAUAAAGCAAUUAUUUCAUUAGCUUAUACAUGAUCAAAUAAAUCGAGUAGAAUUUAUUUCAGGUCUCAACCCAAAUUAACAUUCUUUUACUUGAAGAGUUUAUUGGGCAAGAAGCAAAAAAUCAAACUUUCAGUUUCGAGCAAUACUUGGUUUAGUUUUCAGAGUGGCAUUAAGCUUAAAUAUAGUACGAGGACAUUUCCCUGUAACAUUAAAACCUAAAAUGACAAUAAUGUUUCAAGGCCGCAAUGCAGAAUUAAUCCUUAAUAACUGGAAGGUGAAGCGUUGCAGGGAAAUGCAUGCGAAUGCUUGGAUUUGAAGAACUUGCAAAGAAAGUCAUGCACCAGUACACUGCAGAAAAAAGUUGGUUUUGUCAGUUGGCAACUCCACAUCUGGAAAGAAGAGUUUCUCCUAGUCUGUUGAAUCAGGUAGGCUGUUUAGUUCCACACACACCCGGGGAUUUUCCUUGGAGCCAAGUUUAAUGCCAAGAGACCCCUCAUCGACAUUUGGAUCAUCAGAACUUUGAAAGACCAUAAAUAGGAGAAAUUUCCUUGUCAUCAUCAGAUUUAAGAGUCGCUAGAUUGCUUUACCGUUAAGGCUGGAAUUGCAGUCGCUAUUUAAACAAUUCAGAAUGCAAAAGCAAAUCGUAGCUUCAAAAUCUUGAGUUUUUGAUACAUAUAAUUGCACAGCAAGACUUAACACGGAAGUUUUCUUUAAAGCUAGCAUCAAAAGGAGAUGAAAAGGAAAACAUUGGCUACAAGAAAAAGCUUAGAAUAACCAUCAUAUAGAAAGACGCCAGAGAAAAAAUUCAAAGGGUUGCUAUUGAAAAUGCAGCAAAGCUAUUUACUCAUAACAGUAUAUAUCACUACUUCUAUACAAAGAACAAUAAAUCCUAGUGAGAUUCCUGAUAUCAGCUGUAUACAAACGCGCAUGCUACUAGCUAACUUCCUGUCUCAAGGAUCAUCACAUCUGGAAUAAGGCUAGACACUGGCUGAGACUUCAGUUGCCACUGACUUAUCCUUUUUCUUUUGCUCUUCCUGAGCUUUCU